GUGUGUGUGUGUGGACUCAGCAGUCUGUGUGUGUGUGUGUGGACUCAGCAGUCUGUGUGUGUGUGUGUGGACUCAGCGGUCUGUGUGUGUGUGGACUCAGCAGUCUGUGUGUGUGUGGACUCAGCAGUCUGUGUAUGUGUUUGUAUAUGGACUCAGCAGUCUGUGUAUGGACUCAGCAGUGUGUGUGUGUAUGGACUCAGCAGUGUGUGUGUGUAUGGACUCAGCAGUGUGUGUGUGUAUGGACUCAGCAGUGUGUGUGUGUAUGGACUCAGCAGUCUCUGUGUGUGUAUGGACUCAGCAGUCUCUGUGUGUGUGUGUGUGUGUAUGGUCAGCAGUCUGUGUGUCUCUGUGUGUAAGGACUCAGUAGUCUGUGUGUGUGUGUGUAUGUGUGUGCGCGCGUGUAUGGACUGUAUCAAAGGAAAUGUGUUUGAUUUUUAAUAAUCCUGAAUUCUGAAAAUAAUGAAUUCUCCACCAGGGAUCAUUAAAAACAAAAACCAAAACCACAUUGUGUCGGGGCGGGGCUUAAUAUGCGGCAGGGGCGGGGUCAAACUGCGGUGAGGGCGGGGUUAAAUGUGCCCCCCUACUUUAGUCCCUGGCCCACCAUGUGCCCCCCCCUAAAAAUGAAUCCUAGAGAUGCCACUGUCUACAGGUCAGUAGAACUUACUCAUCCUGUAACAACUGGGUUGAGAGAAACUUCAAAACUUACUUUUCAGCCACAUCUUAACUCCAUGAGAGAGCUGCCUGGAGGGGUCACAUGGCCCUAGUGAGCGGCUCUUUGAUGUUUGGGUACCGAAGAUCGUUUGCGUACCGAGACAUUUUUUACGCAAAAUUUUAGUUCAAAUACCAAAUUGUUCGUGAACAGGAAUGUUCGAGUUACAAGGUUCCACUGUACUUACAAUCAAAAAUUCCAUACGUACUAUCAUGAAAAAAUAUAAAACUGCUUAACCCCACUGACAUUGUCAACUAAUUGGCUGGCCUUUGCACUACCUUAUACAAUUUAAAAGAUGAUCCUAUGAUGACACAACUGACCGCGGACACCAUUAACACCAUCCUAAAUAAAGUAGACCUACUAACAUUAUCUGACCAUCAUAAAUUAGCAUUAGCAUUAGUCCAUUCACGGAAGAAGAAUUAAGCAAAGCGAUUUUAUCACUACAAAAAAAACCAUAAAGCCCUGGUCCCAGAGGGCUUUUCCAAUGACUACUACAUAAAACUCAAGAGGGAACUGACCCCCCCACCUACCAAGAGUCUUCAAUAUCAUAAGCAGAUCAGGCGUAAUUCCUAAAGAAAUGUUAGAGACCCAUCUAGUGACACUACCUAAACCUGGAAAAACCCCUACAGAAUGUGCUAACUUGAUACCUAUAUCCCUCCUAAACGCGACUACCAAACUGCAUGCAAAGGUACUGGCAAAUAGACUCAAACCCAUGCUAGUAUACCUUAUCUCCUCAGAACAGGCAGGUAGACGAAAACACUAGGCACUUUAUUACCUUGAUAAGAUGGUCACUUAUUGUUGUGGAAAUUAGAUGUUGACAUAUUUUCUAGUUAGUAAAAUGCCUAUUUACUCAUUUAACUGAAAUCAAUGUAUAAGCUAUUCACGCAUAUUUAGACAAAAUGGCCACUAGAAGCUUCUAACCCCUCCCUCCCUAUAACACCAACUAACUACCUUGUGUAACAAGAUGGCGCUGGAAUCCGGGGAUGACCCUCAUGGUUCCAGUGACAUCACCCUUAGUAGGCAGAGCAUUAAGAAGACCACUUAACACAACCAAUUAUUGAUGUAUUAUUUCAUGUUAUCUCUGACAAUGCUUAUGAUGUAAUUUUGCUUUAAAAGGGACCUGCCGUUCCCUCUGAAUAAACAUUCCUCAAGUUAUUCAUCAACCUGAAACCUGUGUCUGGUGUGAAUUACUUCAGGGAGCGUGCACGCAUUGUUUCUUAAUUUGGCCAGGGGCAGAUACACAAAGAAUAAUCAAUUUAUUGAUUGAUUUCCAUUUCAAUUGGCGCCCAAUGUGGGGCCACAGGAUUUGCCGGUUCGAAGGGCCAGAAACCAACGGACCUCCGGAAAGUGGGACAACCGGAGCCUGAUCACCUCCACAAUACAGCCGUUGUCUGUAUUCUCCUGUUUUGUGUCAGUCUGCCUCCACGUCCACUUCCGGCUUCCAGAAGGCCACAAGAGACAGGUAAUAUCUCAUCCGGUGCCUCUUUUUAACGAACCUGUCGAUUGUCUGUGUGUGUGUUUGUAUGAAUGUGUGUGACGGCCAGUUCUUUUUAUUAUGUUAGCUUGACUGCCUAGCGGGCAGGGAACGCAUACAGCCGGUAAGGGGCUGGGUACAACCCGGGUAACAGGGUUGGGAUAUUGAGUACAGCCGGUAAGGGGCUGGGUACAACCCGGGUAACAGGGUUGGGAUAUUGAGUACAGCCGGUAAGGGGCUGGGUACAACCCGGGUAACUGGGUUUGGUAUAUUGAGUACAGCCGGUAAGGGGCUGGGUACAACCCGGGUAACAUGGUUGGGAUAUUGAGUACAGCCGGUAAGGGGCUGGGUACAACCCGGGUAACAGGUUUGGGAUAUUGAGUACAGCCGGUAAGGGGCUGGGUUACAGCCAACGCAAGGCUAGGUACCACCUAGUAGAAGGUGGGAUUUUAUGUUUUUAUUGUGGACCUGGUAAAAGGUCGGAUUACAGAGUUACAGCCUAGUGAGGAAGGCUGGGGUUGUUACUAUUUGCUGUUUGGUGUGUGCUGUUUUAAUAUGUACAUGGCCAUAUUACUCUCUGUCAUUUUGUGGAUUCUGUUUAACUGCUGCUACAGUGUGGGUACCCUCGGUGUGUGCGUUUGUGUAGUGUGGCUGAUCCUGGAUUCCGGGGUUUACACUCAUCUCUGUGUGUGUGAUUUCUGUAAAUGCCUUUUGGUUAGUAAAAAAUACAAAAGAAUCGUGUGUUAACAAUGCGCUUAGUACGAUAUACAGUAAAUAUAGACAGCAGCUACCACUUUAAAUAGGGACUCUCCACCCUAUAAAUAAACAUAGAACAUCAAGUGAACACUCGGUGAGGAAUUGACAGAAAACCACCCCUGGUGUGUAAGUGGAGCGCUCAAAAUAUAAUACACUCACCCAUAUGGGUAUAUAUACAAAUGUAUAUGCAAACUUCAGAAAUAACGUGUCUAGAACAAAUAUAAAUACAAAAAAGGAUGGUGCAAAUAACGUCACAAGAUAAAUACAAUAGUGAAAUGGUCUUAUAGAUUCACUCACAUGACUGAGCCUUCUAGGAUAGGCUCAGAUCACAACAGCGGAUGUGUUCUUCUGGCGACACCAAACCCAAGAACGACUCUCUACCUGUCAGUUGAUCCCUUGCAUGGAAGAGGAACACAGGGGAGAAAAAAAGAAUCCUACUGUAGCAUGUCUCAAUAAUGGAGAGUAAAUGUAUAAUAUUGGCUUCUCACCUGUUAAGGAGCCCUACACCUGGCUCUCAGUAUAUAGGUGUAUGUGCCUUUAAGGAGGCUACCACCCUUCUUUAGCAGCAAAAAUGGAAGAUGAGUAUCAGAUUAAAAAUUGAAUUUAAUAUGUAAACAAUAUACAAAUAAAAAUAAACAAAAUUAUAUAAAUAUAAUAAAAAGUAUAUGUAGAUACAAAAUAUAUAUCAAGAGUAAAGAUUCUCUUAUCUUCCAGCCGAGACGCGUUUCGCUGUAUUAAGACAGCUUUCUCAAUCAGUGUUAUAUUAACUGCUGCUUGUGGUUUAAAUAUCCUGGUCUUGCUUGUGAUUCGUGCAAUAAUAAUCCAAUUGUCCAAUCCCUUUUCCUAGUAGUUGUGAAUGUUCCUAUUCUCGCGGGCUAUCGGUCUACUUCCGGUUUGACGGCGGCUCACAUGGUCCAUGCCGCGUCAAAAAAGGGGGCGUGUCUUUUCGCCGGCAACUUAUUCACAAGGGGGUCCAUUACAGAAGUGGGCAAGCGCCCAUAGUGGAGUCCAAUAAAUGUAAUCAUACCUCACAUCGUUAAAAAAGGGAAAAUAAAGAACACAUUGUAAUCAGCACAUAUAUUAGUGCUCUCAAAUAGCCUGUUGUAUCACAGUAAUAGUACUCAAUGUUAUUAUUUCUUCGCAGCAUAGACUGGACGAAUGGCUUCAUUGGUAUUGAUUUUCAUCCAGUGUACAUUGCAAAGUGAAAUUGGCAAUGGUAUCUAUAUAAAAGGUGUCAUUGCCAAAAUAUUUCAUAUUUAUACAAACAUUGCCAAUGUAUCCAUAAAGAAAGGAAACUUAUAAUAACAAUGCUUACAUGAGAACAAUAUGAUUAAAACAAUUCAUAUUUAGGUGUUAAGCCCUUAAAGUGCCAGUGUCCACUUUCACCAACAAGUGAAAAAAAGUGAAGAAAAGUGCUGAAUAUUAAACAUAUGGCCAAAUCCAAUAAACAAUACUGAUCCGCAACUAAUGAUUCUUAAAUAUAAUACUAAUAAUCCAUAAAAAACUAUGUUAAAAAGUGGCAAAGUUCAAAAUCAUCGUUCAGGCCAUUGGGCUGCAUAGUGUUUAGAUUAAAAAUCCACUGCAUUUCUUUUUUACCCAAUUUCUUAAUAAAAUCUCCCCCCCUCCAAUCUGGUACUAUUCUCUGUAUUGCAUGGAAUUGUAAUCCAGCGGGGUCACUAUUGUGUUUAUUUUUAAAAUGCAAAGAAACACUAUGUUUUUCAAAACCAUUCCUAAUGUUUCUAAUAUGCUCCUGUAUUCUGGUAUGUAGGUUCCUUUUCGUACGUCCUACAUAUGCCAGUCCACAAGGGCAUAUCAGAAGGUAAAUGACUUUUGUGGAUUGGCAUGUAAUCAAUUCCUUUAUUUUAAAUGAAAUUUUCACAUUAUGUGGAUGUAAAAACUCCUUUAUUUUUCUCUUCUUACUUCCAGAGUUUCUACAAGCCCCACAAUGUCCACAACCAUAAAAACCUUUUGAUUCGUUUAAAAAAUUACUUUUAUGUCUUCUUGGAGGAAUAUGGUUAGACGUCAAAGUGUUUUUCAAAUUCUUCACACCUAUAUAGACUAUUCUUGGCUUCUCAGGGAGAAUACUAGUUAAAAGGGGAUCAUUUCUUAAAAUCGGCCAAUAUGUCGAAACUAUUCCCCUAAAAUCUUUGCUUUUACAAUUAAAAUCACAAAUCAAUCCUAGUGUUUGGACCUCUUCCUUACUCCUAACGUUAUACUUAAUAAGAUCUUUUCUGUCUUUUAGUUCUACUUCUUUAAGUGCCCUUGUCAAUAAUACCUCAUUGUACCCUUUUUCUUUAAAAUCCUCCAUAAUUUUGUGAGAUUGUGUUUGAAAUACUAACUCAUCUGUGCAGUUACGUCUUAUCCUAAGUAAUUGCGCUUUCGGGGCAUUCAAUAGCCACGGAGAGAAAUGACAGCUUUUCUCUUCAAUGUAGCUAUUGACAUCUACAGGUUUAAAGUAAGUGCAGGUUUUCAGUGCAUUAUUUUCCACAUAAAUCUGUAGGUCAAGAAAUUCAACUUGGCUUGUACUGUAGUUGAAUAAUAAUUUGAUGCCCCAAUCAUUGCUGUUCAAAUAGGUUAAAAAAGACUCUAGAGAGGUUUCAUCUCCCUGCCAGAUAAAAAAUAUAUCAUCUAUGUAACGACGAUAGGCUACGAGGUUCGCGCUCCAUUCGCCUUCACUGUAUAUGAAAUACUGUUCCCAUAAAGCCAUGAAUAAAUUAGCGUAACUCGGCGCGAACCUCGUGCCCAUCGCCGUUCCACAUAUCUGUAAAUAAAAGGAGUUAUUAAACCAAAAAUAGUUGUUAUUUAAUAUCCAUCUGAUGCUCCUGACUAGAAAGUCUAUUUGUCCACUAGGGAAUGUUCCUGUUUCCUGUAAAAAAUGCUCAGUGGCUUGGCACCCCUUGUCGUGUGAAAUAAUAGCGUAUAGUGAACUCACGUCUGCUGUCACUGAAAAACUACCUUCUUUCCACUGGUGAUUAGUCAAUAAUUGGAGAAUGUUGGAAGUAUCUUUGAGAUAACUUGGACUCUUUAUAACCACUGGUUGAAGGCAUCUAUCAACAUACUGGGAUAGUCUGCUCGAAAUCGAGCCUAUCCCAGAUACGAUGGGUCUACCAGGAGGUUUUUGCUUAUCCUUGUGGAUCUUGGGGAGGUGGUAGAAAACUGGUAUUUUGGGUUGUGUCACAUUUAGAAAUUUAUAUUCCUUCUCAUUUAAAAUACUGGAUUCUCUUCCCUCCUCUAUCAAAUUCUCAUAUGUGGUUCUAAAGUCAUUAGUGGGAUCAUUCUUUAAAAUCUUAUAUGUUUGUUCAUCCCCUAGGAGUCUAUAGGCCUCUUUAAUGUAAUCCUCUUUAUCUUGGAUGACAAUGCCCCCCCCUUUGUCUGCUGGUUUUAUUAUCAGCGAGUCGUCCUGCCUUAAAUCCUUCAGUGCUUUUCUUUCUCCAAAAUUGAGAUUAAACUGUUUUUGCUUAGGAUCUUUUAUUUUCCCUAUAUCUUUCAUUACCAUUUUCUCAAAGGUUAUCAUCUCGUCAGAGAUACAAAACUUAGGGUAAAACAAAGAUUUAGCUUUGAGUUCCGUGUGUACAGCUUCGGAAUUUGUUAUGUUUUAAUUUAUCCUAUCGAUAGGGUUUUUUUAAAAAAAAUUUCUUUAAGCACAUAUUUCUCUUAAAUCUAUUCAAAUCUACAUAGACACUGAAUUUAUCAAGUGCCUUUGUAGGCGCAAAUUUUAGCCCUUUCUCCAAUAGGUUCAAUUGGGGAUUGGUCAGAAUCUUAGAUGACAGAUUAAAAACGCCUUUUCCUUUUAUUCUCUGACUUUCUUUCCUUUUUUGUAGAUGAAUUCCUCCUCUAUUUCCCCGUCCUCUAUACUUCGUUCUCUUUUCCCAGGAGUGUUUAGGACAAUUUUGUUGUCUUUGUGCCUGCCCCUCAAGUGGUUCUCCCAAAAAACCUCCUCCUGAUGAUGAGUGUUCAGAGCACUAAAUCUAUUCUGAGUAAAUGGUUCCUUCUUGGCUACACUAUGAAUAGAUCUAUCUCUAGGGUUCAAUGUACUUUUUUCCAUUAGUUGUUGGUCAUGUAUAUAGGUUUUCCUCCUCACUAUUGGUUCUGGCAAUUGUCUAGGUUCUCUGGAGUCCAUAUCGGACAUGUCUCUCCUUCCCCUAGGUGUAUUUAUCCGCCUUUCAGGAUUGCGGUUCCUAUAUAUUGGCAUUUUUACCGGUUCAGGUGAUCUUUUUUGUUCCCUAAGCAUCCUGCUGGGUGUCCUAUUGGAUGCCCUGUUAGGUGUUCUACCUCUGCCUCUAAAUGGGUUUCUACGUUGUGGUGACCAUUUUCUACGUGUGGACAUGUCUCUCCAUUUAGGUUGUUCUAUUGGCCCACCCAUAUACUCUUGGUUUGAAUUCACAAUUCUGGGUCUAUAAGAUGGUCCUUUGGUAAUAUAUUUAUCAUGAUAUUGAUAAUUAUUUUUAGUGAAGGUUCUAAUCUCACCUUUUUCAUAAUCAGUUUUAUCCCUCAAAUAUUUUCUUUUUUAAACCUCUAUUACUCCCUUCUCAAGCUUAUCCAAAUUAUUGUAAUGUUCUGGAGUCAUAUUUGUAGUUAGGAAGGUUUUCAACAUAUUUAUCUCUACAUCCAAUUUUAUCAGUGUUUCUUUCCUUCUUUUUAUGAUAAGAUCUAUUAGUCCAAAAGAGAAGCUCUCUAAUAGGUCAGUCCACUCCUUUAAAAACUCCUCCUCCUCCUAAUCAAAGGAUGGGUUUUUGGAGAAUCUAAGACCUCUUGGUGUUAUCUCUUCUCUUUUAUACUUCUCCAGAGUGGCUAUUUCCCACUGAAUUUUGAUCUCUCUGCCUAGAGUUUAAUAAUGGCGGCGAUGGGCACGAGAUUCGCACCGAGUUACGCUAAUUUAUUCAUGGCUUUAUGGGAACAGUAUUUCAUAUACAGUGAAGGCGAAUGGAGCGCGAACCUCGUAGCCUAUCGUCGUUACAUAGAUGAUAUAUUUUUUAUCUGGCAGGGAGAUGAAACCUCUCUAGAGUCUUUUUUAACCUAUUUGAACAGCAAUGAUUGGGGCAUCAAAUUAUUAUUCAACUACAGUACAAGCCAAGUUGAAUUUCUUGACCUACAGAUUUAUGUGGAAAAUAAUGCACUGAAAACCUGCACUUACUUUAAACCUGAAGAUGUCAAUAGCUACAUUGAAGAGAAAAGCUGUAAUUUCUCUCCGUGGCUAUUGAAUGCCCCGAAAACGCAAUUACUUAGGAUAAGACGUAACUGCACAGAUGAGUUAGUAUUUCAAACACAAUCUCACAAAAUUAUGGAGGAUUUUAAAGAAAAAGGGUACAAUGAGGUAUUAUUGACAAGGGCACUUAAAGAAGUAGAACUAAAAGACAGAAAAGAUCUUAUUAAUUAUAACGUUAGGAGUAAGGAAGAAGUCCAAACAUUAGGAUUGAUUUGUGAUUUUAAUUGUAAAAGCAAAGAUUUUAGGAGAAUAAUUUUGAAAUAUUGGCUGAUUUUAAGAAAUGAUCCCCUUUUAACUAGUAUUCUCCCUGAGAAGCCAAGAAUAGUCUAUAGAGGUGUGAAGAAUUUGAAAAACACUUUGACGUCUAACCAUAUUCCUCCAAGAAGACAUAAAAGUAAUUUUUUAAAUGAAUCAAAAGGUUUUUAUGGUUGUGGACAUUGUGGGGCUUGUAGAAACUCUGGAAGUUAGAAGAGAAUAAUAAAGGAGUUUUUACAUCCACAUAAUGUGAAAAUUUCAUUUAAAAUAAAGGAAUUGAUUACAUGCCAAUCCACAAAAGUCAUUUACCUUCUGAUAUGCCCUUGUGGACUGGCAUAUGUAGGACGUACGAAAAGGAACCUACAUACCAGAAUACAGGAGCAUAUUAGAAACAUUAGGAAUGGUUUUGAAAAACAUAGUGUUUCUUUGCAUUUUAAAAAUAAACACAAUAGUGACCCCGCUGGAUUACAAUUCCAUGCAAUACAGAGAAUAGUACCAGAUUGGAGGGGGGGAGAUUUUAUUAAGAAAUUGGGUAAAAAAGAAAUGCAGUGGAUUUUUAAUCUAAACACUAUGCAGCCCAAUGGCCUGAACGAUGAUUUUGAACUUUGCCACUUUUUAACAUAGUUUUUUAUGGAUUAUUAGUAUUAUAUUUAAGAAUCAUUAGUUGCGGAUCAGUAUUGUUUAUUGGAUUUGGCCAUAUGUUUAAUAUUCAGCACUUUUCUUCACUUUUUUUCACUUGUUGGUGAAAGUGGACACUGGCACUUUAAGGGCUUAACACCUAAAUAUGAAUUGUUUUAAUCAUAUUGUUCUCAUGUAAGCAUUGUUAUUAUAAGUUUCCUUUCUUUAUGGAUACAUUGGCAAUGUUUGUAUAAAUAUGAAAUAUUUUGGCAAUGACACCUUUUAUAUAGAUACCAUUGCCAAUUUCACUUUGCAAUGUACACUGGAUGAAAAUCAAUACCAAUGAAGCCAUUCGUCCAGUCUAUGCUGCGAAGAAAUAAUAACAUUGAGUACUAUUACUGUGAUACAACAGGCUAUUUGAGAGCACUAAUAUAUGUGCUGAUUACAAUGUGUUCUUUAUUUUCCCUUUUUUAACGAUGUGAGGUAUGAUUACAUUUAUUGGACUCCACUAUGGGCGCUUGCCCACUUCUGUAAUGGACCCCCUUGUGAAUAAGUUGCCGGCGAAAAGACACGCCCCCUUUUUUGACGCGGCAUGGACCAUGUGAGCCGCCGUCAAACCGGAAGUAGACCGAUAGCCCGCGAGAAUAGGAACAUUCACAACUACUAGGAAAAGGGAUUGGACAAUUGGAUUAUUAUUGCACGAAUCACGAGCAAGACCAGGAUAUUUAAACCACAAGCAGCAGUUAAUAUAACACUGAUUGAGAAAGCUGUCUUAAUACAGCGAAACGCGUCUCGGCUGGAAGAUAAGAGAAUCUUUACUCUUGAUAUAUAUUUUGUAUCUACAUAUACUUUUUAUUAUAUUUAUAUAAUUGUUUAUUUUUAUUUGUAUAUUGUUUACAUAUUAAAUUCAAUUUUUAAUCUGAUACUCAUCUUCCAUUUUUGCUGCUAAAGAAGGGUGGUAGCCUCCUUAAAGGCACAUACACCUAUAUACUGAGAGCCAGGUGUAGGGCUCCUUAACAGGUGAGAAGCCAAUAUUAUACAUUUACUCUCCAUUAUUGAGACAUGCUACACUAGGAUUCUUUUUUCUCCCCUGUGUUCCUCUUCCAUGCAAGGGAUCAACUGACAGGUAGAGAGUCGUUCUUGGGUUUGGUGUCGCCAGAAGUACACAUCCGCUGUUGUGAUCUGAGCCUAUCCUAGAAGGCUCAGAGUCAUGUGAGUGAAUCCAUAUAGACCAUUUCACUAUUGUAUUUAUCUUGUGACGUUAUUUGCACCAUCUUUUUUUGUAUUUAUAUUUGUUCUAGACACGUUAUUUCUGAAGUUUGCAUAUACAUUUGUAUAUAUACCCAUAUGGGUGAGUGUAUUAUAUUUUGAGCGCUCCACUUACACACCAGGAGUGCCUUUUGGUUAGUGUUGCCACGUUUAUCUUCUCCUUUGUUCUUUACCUCUCCUGUGUCUGUUGCCCAGAGCUGUGUUAGUCACCCACACUCGCUCGCUCCGGUUCAUGGCCACUAUCUCGGGUGGGCGGACCCUCGUGACUAGUCUACGUUUGGGGAAGACGCAUGGGACCCAAGUCCCCGUGGCAGUCGAGCACUGUAGACAUUCCUAUUUCUUUUUCUCUAUAUAUCUGUCUCUUACAUGUGGCUCUCUUUGUUUGGUUAAGAUGGGGCAGGAACACGCUAGACCUGCUAAGGGAUUCUUGGCUUGUGAUAUUGUAGAAGAAAGAGCAGGGGAAGAUGCAAUGUUGAAAAUUAAGAAAAUAGCCAAGGAAUGUGGCUUCCAAAUGUCGCCUAGUGGUAGGCUGCAACCCGAGUUCUGGAGGAAACUGCUUGUAGAUAAGGAGGGUUUAUUGCUGGAUAAUGGGUUGACAAAAGCAGUAGAGGCUUGGUAUCGGGUCGCUAGAGGUCUCAAACGGGAGGGUUGGAAAGAGGAAGAAUUAGACUUUGAGGGACCAACGAUUUACGUGUAUCACCGAAAUGUUUGUAAUGACGAUGUAUCUCCCACUGCUUUCCGACCACCGCCCUAUGAUGGCGCCCAGAGCGUGGUGAUUAACUCCCGCCAAGCUUCCCCCAUUAACGCCCAGACACCCACCCCCCUGUGUCCUGUGCUCGGAGCCGAUGGAGCCUAUUACUACCCAGUGCCAAUACAUUCCUUCCCACAUGCUCCUACGCCCCAGUCAUUUUCCCAGCUUCCCACUGUCCCCGACCAGGCCCUGUCAUUGCCCCUCUUCCCAGUCGCCCCCUCUGAUGUCCCUCCACCUCCUUGUCCUCCGCCUCUCCCACCGUCCUUACCUGCUCCCACCUCAGCCCUUCCUCCCCCACUCCCGAUCCAGCCCCGUCAGCUCCUGCUCUCCCUCCCAAUGUCCCUGCCCCGCCCCCUACUACCCUGACUGCCCCAGUCUGUUCGUCCCCUAACACUCCUGUCGCCUCGUUAUCCUCCUUCCUCUCUUCUGUUUCUGCUGCUCUUGCAACUCCUCAUCCCCCGACACCUAUCCCUCCCCCCCGCACCUUCCGAUUCUUCUUCCUCUUUUACUGACUCCUGGUCCCUUCUCUCCGCUAUCUCAGCCCCUCCCCCUGCGUUCUCUGAUUCUUCUUCUUCCUCCUCUACUCCUCCUACUGACCUCCCGUCCCUUCUUUCCGCCCUCUCAGCCCUAAACCAUCCUACUAUCUCCACCCCUACUAUUCCUACCCCUCCUCCUGCAUCUGCCGAUUCUCCUUCUCCUUCCUCCCCUCCUAAUGACCUCUAGUCCCUCCUCUCCGCCCUCUCAGCCUUAACCCAUCCUACCAUCCCCACCCCUACUACCCCUAUCCCCCCCUGCAUCUUCUGAUUCUUCCUCUUCCCCUCCUCAUACUGACCUUUUGUCCCUUCUCUCCGCCCUCUCAAACCUAACCCAUCCUACUAUCUCUGCUCCUACUACCCCUACUCCUCCCACUACGUCCUCUUCAUCCUCUCCUCCUACUGACCUCUCAUCUCUUCUCUCCGCCCUUACAGCCUUAACCCGUCCUACUACUCCCGCCCCCUCCACUCCUAUCCCUUCCCCUACCACCUCUGAUUCCCCCCCUCCUUCCACUGACCUGUCGUCACUUCUUUCCGUCUUCUCAUCUUUGGCUCGUCCCACUACUCCUGUCCCUCCUCCUACACCUCUCGAUGCUACAGCCACGUCACAACCCCCUACUUCGGGUCCUCCUGCUUUGCCUUCCCCCUCCCCACUACCCCCUGACCCUGACUCUGCCUUAGCUCUUAAAUACUCACUUGUCACGUCCGACCCAACCUGCCCCCACCCCUGCCCCUUCCAUGGCUCUGGUUUCCUAUACCCCCCCCUGUGAGCACUAGCUACCCACUUAUGGUGGUCAGUUCCGAUGAGUCAGUAACUUCGGGCCAACCGUAUGCGAUGGGUGUCUCCCAGCCAGCCUCAGGCUUCCAUCCUACCACGUCACCUAUCACGGGACUCCCGACCCCUGCCACUCCGGCCGUUCCAGCCCCCGCCUCCCUUGAUGCUGCUUCCCAUCAGGGCCCCGUUACUCCCGGGGCGGUUGAUGUAGGAGAGCAUGGCCCACUCCACCCUCUGAGUAAUAGACUCCUACGGAGACAGAUCACCUCCGGAGUGCACCCCCAGGUAUCCCCUGUCGCUGAAGGUGCUCCACCUAUGUAUGUCACGUUUUACCCCUCACAAGCUGCCACCUUGGUUACUUCCCUCCCUGACCCAAAGAAACAUCCAAUGUCCUUCUUCCGCAGAAUGGCUCAAAUUCGCAAAACGUACUCCGCUGCUUGGCGGGAUCUCUAUAGUUUCUGUGAAAUAAAAGCUGGUGAUGCCUACUGGCCAAUAAUGGCGAGGAGUUUCACUGAUGCUCCUCUUACCACAGAUACAGACUUCCAGUCCGGAAUUACAUUUUGUGAGCAACUCCGUGCUUGGGCACAAGACAAGUUAGUUGACCAGGCCACUUGCAUAAAUGAUAUUGUUCAGGACAAGCUUGAGUCAGUUGAGAAAUAUCAUUCACGUCUAACCCAAACCUUUUCAGACUUAGGGUUUAGUACAUAUAACAAAGCACACACCCAGAUGUUAUCUGCAGCCUUUGUGGCUGGUCUGAAGGAACACAUCCGUAAAGGUUUAAUCCUCUCACGCCCAGAGUAUAGAAUCAUCCCCCUAGACACCCUUUUGUUGGUUGCUAAGGGUUUAGAGUCAGUGUUACAACCUGUACAGAGAAGAGCUAACCCACUGAUGUUUACCGCCACAACACCUAUCACUGGACCUGCCCAUGCCACCCAAGGCUACGUGCCACAGACCCCAACUCCUACACGAGACCGGACACCCACGGCAACCAGGACCUGUUAUAAUUGUCACAGGUCGGCCACUUCCGGAGGGAUUGUCCCCAUCCAAGGAUGUUCCGGCCACUGCUCCCCCGGUUCUCUAACCCUUCAGCCACUACUUAUUAAUAACUCCCUCCAGGGUACUUUCAGCCACCACCCCCUCCCCCAGUUCCCCAUUUUCCGCCUCCUGAAUAUUCACAGGCUCCCCCACCACCUUCAGAUGCCCAUGCUUAUCCUCCAGCUCCUGCUGACGGGUUUGACACUGAUGACUUCCAUCCCUAGACAGAGCCGUACUGCCCGCCCUGCCCUUCAAGCGAGCCUCCCUGCCACCUCCUCACGCCGUUAUACUGGCCCUGACCAGGCUCAUUUAGAUUUAUUGCAAUAGGUAACCGGCAAGCCAUGGCAGUGUCUACAGGGGAUGGGGGUGGGCCACUACUUUCCUAGUUGACACAGGUGCAGCCCGUAGUGUUCUUAGAGAACAAGACCUGCCUGACCCAUCCUUCCUGUCAGAUACCGAUGUCUCUUGUGUUGGAGUUGACGGUACCCCCCGCAGUAGCCCACUCACAAAACUCCUUCAUUGUGGGGUCAGAAAUCCUCUCCUGGUUUGUUGUCUCCUCCACGUGCCCCAUUAACCUCUUGGGUGCUGAUGUUCUGUCCCGUCUACAAGCGUCCAUUACCUUUACUGCAGACGGCCAAGUUCAGUUAAAUACACCCGUCACGGAAAGAUACUUCAGCACUUUGUUCCCUCCCCAUACUACUACAUCUUGCAUCUCCCACAGGGGAAUCAAGGGUCCUUCAUGCCCCCAGUGCUCUGGACAAAAUCCCUGCAAAGCUCUGGUCCACUGGCCCGGAUGAUAUUGGACGCCUUAAAGCUCCCCCCGUUGUGGUCACACUACUGCCAGGAGUAGCGCCUCCCCGAAGAUCCCAGUAUCCACUGAAACCCACCCAGGCACUCGCCAUUUCCAAGUAAGUGGAAAACCUUCUAGCUAAAGAUGCCCUUGUCAAGUGUGUGUCACCAUGCAACACUCCCCUCUUCCCUGUUAAGAAGAAAACUGAAAAAGGGCAACCUGAUCAGUACCGCAUGGUCCAGGAUUUACGUGCUGUUAAUGAAGUAACUGUCAAGGAUACUGCAAUUGUUCCAAAUCCACAUACCCUGCUAAUGCAUUUUUCAGUGUGCCCCUGGACCCAUCCUGUCAACACCUCUUCGCCUUUACCCAUGAAGGUCAGCAAUACACAUGGACUGUCAUGCCCCAGGGGGCUCAAAAUUCCCCCACUCAGUUUGCCCGCGCCAUGUCAAUGGUUCUGGAACCCUGGCAAAAGGCUUACUCAGAUGUAGUCCUACUUCAAUAUGUUGAUGAUUUACUUCUCUGUGCUGCUGAACUCCAGACUGCUGAACGAGAUUCUGAGGAUCUCCUCUGCUUCCUUGCUGAAGAAGGCUGCAAAGUCUCCAAAUCCAAACUCCAGUGGUGCCAGCCCUCUGUGGUCUUCUUGGGACAUUGCCUCUCCCAUGGCACCCGUCACCUCACCAAACAAAAGGAUUUUGGCCAUCUUGAAUCUACCAUUACCUGCAGCUCAUUAGUCUCUCCAUGCUUUUUUAGGCCUCAUUACGUACUGCAGGUCCUGGAUUCCAGAAGCCUCCCAGCUAAUCCAACCCCUCUACGAUGCCCUGAAGAGCGAGCCCUUCUCACUCUCAACACAAGCUAUUGCCUGCUUCACUGCCCUGAAGAAAUCCAUUGCUUCUGCACCAACCUUGGGCCUACCGAACUAUCAGCUGCCCUUCAAGUUGUUUGUGUCUGAAAAAUUGGGCCACGCUUCCGGCGUUCUUACUCAAAAACAUGGCUCCAGACAGAGACCCAUUGGCUAUUUCUCCUGCAUGCUUGACCCUGUAGCCAGAGGUAGUCCCUCUUGCCUGAGGGCAGUGUUUGCUGCCAGUGCCUUGCUGGACAAAACCUAUGACUUUGUUCUUGGUCACACUCUGAAUGUCUUGGCUCCUCAUGACAUUUCUGCCAUCCUUCAACAGGUUCAACCCAGGCAUCUCUCUUCUCAACGUCAUCUACAUCUGCAAACUUCUUUAUUAUUACCUGACAACGUCACCCUCCAACGCUGCUACUCUCUGAACCCGGCCACUCUUCUUCCACUUCCCAAGGGGGGAGUAGCACAGUAUUGGUACAGCCUGGAUGUCAACCCAGAUGCCCGGAUGGAAUUUCAACUACCUACUCUUACACCUCCUGCACCUCCACAUGAUGUACAACCAGAGAACUUGUUACACUGUACCUUGUGGUUCAAAGACAGCCCAGGCCCUGAUGUGGACUAUGAAGAAGAAUUAUUUCAGCUCGUGGAAAUUCACAUCACACUGACAGACUUGUUGUGGGAUCCCAGAGGCAACAUGGUCCUGCUGGUACACAUCCCAACAGAAGCAUCCCACCUCUACCGACAUCGGGAGACAGCUGUCCCACACAUAUCCCUCACCAAGUCCCCUGAUCUCUCAUGGAAAGAUUUAGGCCCAAUGGCCAAGUCCUGGAGUGCAACAACCCAGGAACAACUUGACUCUAUGGGAGUAACUAAAAAGUACAGUUGGAUAUCCUAGAUACCAUACAGAGAUUUGUGAAGACCUAUCCUCCAUGGAACAAGACUCAUAAACCCCUCAUGAUUGCUUUGAACAGAUGAAGAUGGAAACUACCCAAUUACCAACUGUACACGAGACUGCUCUACUUAAUCCAGAUCAAACACUGUUCGUGGAUGGUUCCAGAUUUGCCGUUGAACAAGGGCAAUAUCACACUGGGUAUGCAGUUACCACAGAAAGCCAAAUACUACAGACAGCCGCACUUCCGCCAACCAAAUCAGCUCAAGAAGCCGAGCUAACAGCCCUCACAGUAGCCUGCAAACUAUCUGAAGGUCUACGUGUCAAUAUUUAUACAGACUCAAGAUAUGCCCUGGGAGUGGCACAUGAUUUUGGCCUGAUUUGGAAAACUAGAGGAUUUCUCACAGCUACCGGUACUCCGGUGAAACAUGGGGCGGCCAUUGAAGGACUGAUGGUUGCUUUGGUACUUCCUGCAGAAGUGGCAGUGUUAAAAGUGAAAGCUCAUGGAAGACUAAAUUCAGAGGAAGCACGAGGCAACCACUUAGCUGAUCAAGCCGCCAAAGAAGCAGCAAGACAAAGGUGGAAAGUGGACAGAAGAGUGGCCACUGAAACAACACCCAUCUACACUAUGCAGACAUUACCUACAGAUCUUAGACUUCUAAAGGAGCAACAAGCAGCUGCCACCCCUCAAGAGAAACAAAGUUGGAAGAACAGAGGGGCUAUCCUCCGAGAUGAUGUUUACACCAUCAAUCUUAAGUUCUGCCUACCCAAGAACAUGUAUCCAGCUGUUGUCCAAUGGGCCCAUGGGCCAGCCCACCUGUCAAAACAUUUGAUGAACUCUGAUUGAUAAAUACUCUGAAGCACCAGGUAUUACUACUCUGAUGCAGAACUAUUGUAGAUCUUGUAGAAUUUGUGCUAAAUGCAACCCUGGAAAGAUAGUUAAAACCGCACCCAAUCACUUGGCCAAGCCCCAGUACCCUUUCCAGAGGAUACAGAUUGACCACAUCCAGAUGCCAAAGAGUGGACGUUAUGAAUAUGCAUUAGUCAUUGUGGAUAUGUUCUCAGGGUGGCCAGGAGCUUUCCCAGUGGCUAAUCUUAUCGCAAUGACCACAGCUAAACAUCUUCUGAUGGAAAUUGUCUGCCGGUAUCCUUCACCGCCUCAUUGACACAGGAAGUCUGGUCAGCACUGGGGGUGACCCUUGCCUUCCACACACCAUAUCACCCACAGAGUAGUGGUAAGGUAGAAUGCAUGAAUGGCACAUUGAAGGCCAGAAUGCUUAAGAUGUCCCAAGAAACUAACAUGCCCUGGCCUGAGAUUCUUCCAUUAGCAUUAUUUAGUGUAUGGUACACCCCUAGGUGAAAAUACAACUUAUCUCCCUAUGAGAUCCUGUUCGGCACAGCACCAAGGUUAGGUUGUUACUUCCCCCAACAACUCCAGAUUCAGUCAGAUGUUAUGGUAUAUUAUGUAACCUCUCAUGCCUUGACCAAAAUCCAUGCCCAAGUGUUUUCUUCUAUUCCAGAUCCUGAGUCGAAUACAGGUACACACAAGUUGCUCCCCGGUGACUGGGUUAUGGUCAAGAAAUUCCUCAGGAAACAUACCCUUGAGCCAAGAUUUGAUGGUCCUUACCAAGUGCUACUGAUUACAACUACCUCGGUGAAACUGGCAGGAAAGAGUUCCUGGAUACACGCCUCACACUGCAAGAAAGUGCCUGCUGCAGAAGAAGUCACCCCUGCCGAGCUAUGAGUUUUCUGUGUUCCUUGUGUUUUCUCUUGCUGCUAAUGUGUUUUAUCUUGCUGCUAAACUUUACAGGGGCUCAACAAGUGGCUAUAACUAAAGAUAACCAUGUUUAUACCUUUUGGUACAAUUCCUCAAACACAGAUGUGGCUACCUUUUCUUUUGAUUAUUGUGAUAUUGUCACCUGCACCUUUCCACAAACACAAUAUGCUGCUAUAUACAAGGACAUACCCAGUAAAAAGGACCCAUAUAUUUACGUAACGGGGUGGUCAUGGGGGCAUCAUUGGUUAGUUCAUGGAAGGCGGCUGGGUGGAACACGGGUAGACCAUGGGGCUAUAAGCCCCAGAGCACCCUAGACAGAAUUGACCAAGACGGGAAGUCCCUACUCUCCAGAAUGACCUUAAGUAAACCUAUCGGGUUAACCCCCAUCAAACUCACACUGAACAUGGAGCACCCUAGUCCAAAAGAUGCGGGGGAAUAUAUAAUGGGCAUGUACUGGAGGGGCGGUGACUCAUACAACAAGUUGGGGACUUUCUAUCUGCAAGAUAUGCUUACCUCACCUGACUGGGUAGGAACUACUCACAUGACUGUUAACCCACUGAAACAACAUAUCAAGACUUUACAUGAUAUGGUAGCUAUAGCCAAUCCUACUUUCGAAGACACGAUGGCAGUGGAAACUGGGUUCUCAGACACUAACUUAUGGCUGGAAUGGAUGAGAUAUAACGCUAACUCACACAAUAAGACUAAUUGUUAUGUAUGUGGAGGAGCCAGGCCCCACCUGGGUACGGUGCCUUUAAACCUACCCCCCGAUGUUCAAUUAUGUGUCUUGAGUCUCUAUGCACAAUCCACUACUAAUUCUUCAACGUGUGAGUCAUGGAAAAAGGUCUACCCAAUCAUCCAGGGGCACGUUAGACCACCUGACUGAGUCACUGUAUACCCAGGUAACUACACUUGUUAUUCAAUACCUAAGAACACAGGUACAUUCAUGGGCAAAUUCCCAUCUGGUUAUUGCUCCACCUAUCAUAAUCCACCCAUAGCAUUAUUAAUGAAUCAUGCAAAAACAGUUGGGGACAUAUAUUGGCUAUGUGGAAAUAAACAACUAAGAUCCCAACUGGCGGGACUAUGGUGGGGAGAAUGUACUUUGACCAAAGCCAUAAUGCCCAUCCACAUUAUCCCGGAUGGCUAUCACAAUGCGUUAAACCCCGCACACACACACUCCAGAGCCAGGAGGGAAGCCCCAAUCUGAGGAAGCUUUGAUCCACAUGUUUGUAUUGAUGCCAUUGGUGUGCCAAGGUUGGUGCCCAACGAAUUCAAGGCAAGGGAUGAAGUGGCAGCCGGGUUUGAAUCUUUGAUUCCAAUGAUUACUGUUAAUAAGAAUGUCAAUUGGAUUAACUACAUCUAUUACAAUCAGCAGCGGUUUGUUAACUAUACCAGGGAUGCCCUACAGGGCCUAGCAGAACAACUACAAGCCACCACUCAAACGACAUUUCAAAAUAGAAUGGCUCUGGAUAUGAUCUUAGCAGAAAAGGGGGGCGUAUGUAAAAUCCUCCCAGAAACCAUGACAUGCUGCACAUUUAUUCCAGAUAACACUGGGCCCAAUGGUAAGGUAACUAUGGCUAUAGAGAAAUUAGAUAGCCUCUCUGAUGAACUAAGAAAGAACUCAGGAGUCAUUGAUACCUGGGACAGAUGGUUUGGAUGGAUGAAUGGUUGGCAGAGAACCCUAUUCUAGGUUGGGACAGCAGUUCUCGUAAUGAUUGUGAUCUUCCUAUUUUUAACCUGUUGUGUACUUCCUUGUAUACAAAAGUACUUACAGAAGACAGUAGGGAAGACUAUAGACAACGUAACCCCUACUUUCCUACACCAGGACGUCACUGACCUAGAAUGUGACACACCACAUACACCCCUCCAAUUUAAACAGACAACUGCGUUUCUAUAGGGAUAGCAUAGGGAAAGCGUCUGUCUCUACAGGCAAGUCUCACGUGCGGAGAUGUGGUGGACUAGCUACCGCGGGUUACCCACGGAGUGAAGAGUUCGAUGCUUGUUAAGACAGAUGAGCUGCAGGCAGCUAGAGACAUUCUAGGGACAGUAGCAGUUGUUAUGGUCAAUAGCCAUUUUAAGGGUGGACUGUUGUGGAAAUGAGAUAUUGACAUUUUCUAGUUAGUAAAAUGCCUAUUUACUCAUUUAACUGAAAUCAGUGUAUAAGCUAUUCACGCAUAUUUAGACAAAAUGGCCACUAGAAGCUUCUAACCCCUCCCUCCCUAUAACACCAACUAACUACCUCGUGUAACAAGAUGGCACUGGAAUCCGGGGAUGACCCUCAUGGUUCCAGUGACAUCACCCUUAGUAGGCAGAGCAUUAAGAAGACCACUUAACACUUAACCAAUUAUUGAUGUAUUAUUUCAUGUUAUCUCUGACAAUGCUUAUGAUGUAAUUUUGCUUUAAAAGGGACCUGCCGUCCCCUCUGAAUAAACAUUCCUCAAGUUAUUCAUCAACCUGAAACCUGUGUCUAGUGUGAAUUACUUCAGGGAGCAUGCACGCAUUGUUUCUUAAUUUGGCCAGGGGCAGAUACACAAAGAAUAAUCAAUUUAUUUAUUGAUUUCCAUUUCAAUUAUAGACACCGAAAAAGUGUUUGAUCGGCUAAAUUGGAUCUAUAUAAAAGUCAUUCUGUUGAAACUGGGCAUUCCAGCUUAUUUUCUAACUAGCAUUAUGGCUCUUUACUCCUAGCCCUCAGCUAGGAUCAUUAACUCUGUUUUUUUUAGCUGACCCAUUUAAUAGGCACCCGUGAGGGCUGUCCACUUUCACCUCGGCUUGGAACUGCUAGUCAGGCAUAUUAAAUCACAUACCAACAUAUCAUGGUUAGAAACACCCACACAAGAGCACAAAAUUGCUCUCUUCAUGAUAUCCUACUAUUCAUUACCCAUCCAGAACGCUCUAUUCCCAACUUAUUGUCUCAAUGAGACAGGUACAGUACAAUUUCAUAUUACAAAAAUGCAAAAAAGAGACAGGCCCUACCCAGUGGUGUAUCCUAGUUUUGUGCUGCCCUAGGCAGGACAAAACUCAGGCACCCCCCCGUGAUACCCCCACCCGCGCAACCGCCACCCAACCCUUCCCCCCUGCUCCGCCUUCUAAAUACACACACACACACACUGACAGAUACGCAUUCACUAGCUAACAGACACACACACACACACACUAACAGACACACACACACACACUAACAGACACACACACACACUGACACACACACACACACUAACAGACACACACUAACUUGUGUUUUUUUUGUAUUUAACCCCCCUAGCCUCCUUACCUUUGGGAAUGCUGGGGGGGUUCUUUCUGUCCCUGGGGUCCUGGGGUCCAGUGGCUGCAGGGCGGGCGGGCGGGCAGCCGGCGAGGGAGCUCUUCCCAUGAGCGCUCUGCUCAGCUCCCUCGCGCGCCGCCAGCAGAGUGAGGGUGGGAGCCCGGUUGAUGACGUCAUAUUCCGGCUCCCACCCUCACUCUGCUGUCGGCGCGCGAGGGAGCUGAGCAGAGCGUUCAGGUGAAGAGCUCCCUCGCCGGCCGCCCGCCCAGCGCUGCCCGCUCGUAAUGUCUGUUAGCCACGAGGCUAACAAGGCAUUUGCCCUGGGCAUUUGGGGGUGGCUUUUUUGCUGCCCCCUGAAAAAUGCCACCCAAAGCAAAUGCCUUGUUUGCCUCGCGGCUAAUACGCCCCUGGCCCUACCCAUUGGCCUUCCUAAAACAACAACAUACACAUUACAAACGUCCUAUUUGAUUGGCGCAGCGUCUCCCUAAAAUAUCUGGGGAUCAAACUAAAAACUCUAGUAGACUCAUUCAGGAAAUUCAUGUAUCAGUUGCUAAUAAACUACACACACAAUUAAAUGCAUGGAGAGACCUAUACAUCUUGUGGUUAGGAAGAAUACAUACCUUCAAGAUGAUGAUCUUGUCUCACACUUUUAUCUUUUCAGAACACUCCCUGUGACGAACUACACUUUGUCACUGGUUUUUGGAGGGGCUUGCUUGCCCGUCUCCAACCCUGGGACUAUGGGCCCUGUGAUAACCCAUGUUCAAAAGUACUGUUUCUGCCCCUUGGACUUUUAACUGGAACAGAUUCAAACAUGUGGCGGCGGCCAUUUUAAAUUUUCCAGCAGUGUUUUGCCAUCGAGUGUAUGGAACUGUUUUGGGCAUGGGACCAUGUGCAUUGUGGGACAAAAAUAAGACUUCCAGAAAAUCCAUGAACCCCUGAACCAAUCUGGUUGAUUUUUGGAUAUGUUGUUCACCCAGAUCGGGGCUAUCAGGGGAUGUGUUUUAUUUUGGGGUACUUUUUAGGGUUUGUAAAAAUGUAUGUUUUUUUCUGCUAAAGUUAAUUGAGUUAGUUCAUUGUCUUUGUUAAUUGUAUCACAGGCAGAGUGGAGGGUUUGUGUAAAGUAACUGGGUGUGUUCAAAUGUAAAACUCUGGUUUUUAUUGGAUUGUGCAUUUCAUGUCCUGUGCCCAACAAGGUCCACGUGGGCGGUAACCUUGUGGGGAAAUACUGUAUAAAAGAAGCAGCUGUCCCAUUAAACCUUCAGUUCUACUUCACCCUCAAUCUAGAGUCCUGUGUCUUAUUGGGGGAAUCUGCUACAAGGGAUUGCUAUGCUCUUCAUACUUCCUUGAAUAAUCACUAGAGCCUGUUCCUGUUCCUGCUUCACUCUCUGGGGAAAGAGAGGUUCACCCACCAAUCUUGUCGUAGGGACAGGGUGGGUAGGAGACGGCGAGCCCCCAACCAAGCUGCGGUGGUUCGUGGGGUCUGCAGUGCUUAUGGUAUCAAGUGGAGUGCUUGGAGCCCUUGGGAAGCACUAGGAGCAUCCAUCAAUGGAGGUACCCAGUCGGGGUGCCAGGUGAUCCGUUACACUCCCCAUAGCUCUACCUAACAGCAUGUUGUGCAAAUUUCAAUUGAUUUUAAGUGCUUACAUUUGGAAAAUGAAGCCUCCUCGAAUACCAAGGAAUCUUUCUUGGUUACCAUUUCAGAAAGAGGGACUGGGUGUACCUGACAAAGUAUAAAGUCUCUGUGGUAGCACAGGGUAUAGCACUCCUAAAAGUGAAAGGUACGACACCGGUGUGGGCUCCCCUAGAAAAAGCAUGUCUCAAACCAAAGAAAUUAGAAGGGAAAUUAUGGAAGUUCUCUGCUUCAACACGUCACACUUCAAACAGCUUACCAUGUACGAAACUACUGAUUAUGGGCUGGUCAAAAUGGGCCAGACCACUAACGGAACUGGACAGUCCACUAGCCAUGGCACCCAUUAAUGAACUGUACUACACGCAAGGGAAGAGGGUGGGGUAGCGACAGUUGCUGAUCUGUGCUAGAGUGGCGAUGUCAGGUCUUUUCUAAUACUGCAGAGGACAUUUGACCUUCACCACAAGAGGUGGGUGUUUACCUUUCUUAGACUGAAACAUAUAAUAAAAUACAAACUUACAAAAGGAGCAGCUUCUAGUCUCUCCAGGCUGGGGCAAAGCUGUGUUAUCUCACAGAGCUAACGUAAGUAUUAUUAUUGCCAUUUAUAUGGCGCCAACAGAUUCCAUAGCGCUCUGCAAUAUUAUGAGAGGGGGAAUUUAACUAUAAACAGCACAAUUACAAGAACACUUACAGGAACGAUAGGUUGAAGAGGACCCUGCUCAAACGAGCUUACAGUCUAUAGAAGGUGGGGUAUAAAACACAUUAAAGAGAUGGGUUUUAAACCACUUCUUAAAUGAUUGAAGACUAUGUGAGAGUCUUAUCUCUCCAUAAACUACAAUGCUUUUCAUGAAAAGGAGGCAGAGAAGUGAGAAGGGAGUGGGACAAUCCCUCACAUAUUCUGGGAUUGCCCUAAAAUCAUUAAUUAUUGGAAGCAGAUACAGAGUCAACUUAGAACCUUUACUGUGAUAUGAAUAACCUUUCGUCCGGAGUGCUAUCUGCUCUGCGACAAACUCACUAUUUCUCAACUUUCUCAACUAAGCCCAGCACCUCGGGAAAGAGCUAUAUCCUCACGGUAGAUUAUGCUACCAGGUACUCCAAGGCUGUAGCUCUUUCUAAUAUAGAGGCAGAGACAGUGGCAGAGGCUCUGGUAAAGAUUUUUACUAGGGUUGGUUUCCCUAGGAAGAUUUUUGUCUGAUCAGGGGUCUCAAUUUACCGCAACUGUGAACCAACAGUUAUGGCAGAGUUGCGGAGUGAAAUCCCUGUUCAGCUCUCCCUACCAUCCCCAGAAAAACUGACUAAGUGAACGUUUUAAUGGCACGCUCAAACAGAUGCUUAAGACGUUCGCAGCCUCCUGUCAGUACUGGGAAAGAUUCCUUCCCCAUCUCCUGUUUGCCUUCCACAAAGUGCCCCAAGCAUCUACGGGGUUCUCGCCUUCAAAUUCCUUCGACUCCGACCGGGAGGAUCUGCAGGUGGCCUAACAACGCCAGAAAAGGUGGUACAAUAGAGGCGCCCAAGAUAGGGUCCUAGAAACCGUCUAAGAAAGCUUCAGACCGCCUGGCAGGGACCUCGCUGGGUAGUGGACCCCAAUAAGCAACACUACCUACAGCGUAGGGAAUAUGUUCAGAUCCUUUCAUGUGAACAUGCUCAAGCCCUACUUUAAAGCGGGUGGAGGACAUAGCGGCAGUAUGUGCCCUUUCAUUUGAGGAUAGCAAGGGUCUUCCCCUACCUGACUUGCUCGCCCCUUCCCCCGGUACGAUAGAGCAAGUCAGACUAGGUGAAAAAUUAAACCCCUUAGAGAAGGCAGAGGCCUCUCAGCUGCUCCAGGGAUACAGGGAAAUGUUUUCUGCCUUGCCAGGGUACACCUCCGCUGUGGCCCACCGAAUUGAGACCCAGGGAGAAACUCCUCUAUGGCAAUAACCGUACCGUAUCCCUGAGGCCGACAGAGAGAAUAUGCGGUCUGAGAUUCAGAAGAUGUUAAAGCUAGGAGUAUAGAGCUCCCUCAGAGCCCUUGGGCAUCUCCGGUAGUGCUGGUACCCAAGCGAGAUGGCACGACUCACUUCUGUAUUGACUACCGGAAGCUUAAUGACAGGACAGUAACCGAUGCCUACACCAUGCCCAGGAUAGAUGAGUUACUAAAUCGUAUGGAGGGGGUGAAAUACUUGACUACCCUAGAUUUGUGCAAAGGUUAUUGGCAAAUCUCCCUGGAGUUGGCAGCCAUUCCUAGGUCGGCAUUCACAACCCCACUUGGGCUAUACCAGUUUAGGGUUAUGCCCUUUGGGAUGAAGAAUGCCCCGAUGACCUUUCAGCGGAUGGCCAAUAGGCUUCUAGAGGGAUUUUAGGACUUCACAUGUGCAUACUUGGAUGAUAUUGCCAUCUACAGCCACACAUGAGAAGACCAUCUGGAACAACUAACCAUUGUACUGAAGUGAAUUCGGGCAGCGGGGCUCACUCUGAAACCUGACAAGUGCCAUGUCAGUAUGGCCGAGGUACAGUAUCUCGGCCAUAUGGUAGGGUCAGGCAAACAGCGAACCGAACCUGCCAAGGUGGAGGCUAUUGCCAACUGGCCCCAACCCUGUACCAAGACCCAGGUAUUAGCAUUCCUAUGAACCGUGGGAUACUACCGCAAGUUUGUUCCUGAGUACAGUGCCUUGGCCAAACCCCUCAACGACCUGACCAAAAAGUCCCUUCCCAGAGAGGUAGCAUGCUCCCCGGAGUGAGUGGCCUCUUUCCAGAAACUCAAAACGGCACUGAGCGAGGCACCUGUGUUGGCCGCACCAAACCAUACUAAAAAGUUUCUUGUCCACACAGAUGCCUCCAUGUUUGGGCUGGAAGUCAUGUUGAGUCAAGUGGGGAUGGAGAUGGAGAUGGAGAAGGAAUGCCUAGCUCUCAUAUGGGCAUUAAAGAAAAUACAACCAUACCUCUAUGGUCGCCCCUUUACUUUAAUGAUAGACCAUAACCCCCUCAUCUGGUUAAACUAAGUCGCUGGAGACAAUCCGCGUUUGUUAUGCUGGAGCCUGCCCUGCAACCCUACAAUUUCACCAUGCAGUACAGGCCAGGCAAACAGAACGGCAAUGAUGAUGGUUUGUCCUGGCAAAUGGAGUUGGAACCUUGACUGACUUCUCCGGAUAUCCCCAAGCCAACCCGGCAUGGUCUAGGCAGGUAUGCCGACCCAUAGAACUAAGGGGGAGCAAUGUGAAGAAACUACACAUUUUGUUCGUUAACUUUGAUUUUCUACAAAGAAAACCGCAGAUGAAGUUCUCUCUCUGUGUGGCCGCGUUCGUAUGGCCAAACGGCUGGAGAAAAUAGCAGCCAUAUUGUUGCAAGAAAAGAGGCAACAGGACUUGGUUGUCGAGUGUCUGAUACUAAAAUCGGACACUCAACUUCCCGAACGCUGGUCAACUUUGCGAACGCCUGCUUCUUUUAACCGACCAGCCAGGAGAGCGCUAUUCGGUAGGUUUGUUCCCACAAACUACCCAUGAGCCAGGGUAACAAUUCAUUGAUUUGUUCAGUUUAGAACUCCUGUAAUGAACAUACCACUACCUCUGAAACUGUGGAACUGUUUUAGGGCAUGAGACCAUGGGUGCGGUCGGUCAAAUAAGUGACUUCCAGGAAAUUCCCAAACCCCUCAACCGAUCUGGGUGAUUUUUUGGAUAUGUUGGUCACCCAGACCAUGGUGGGUAAACUGGGCUUGUUGGAGCACAAAUUGGUAGAGUGAGAGUUUGAAGAGCAAAUUGCACAAGCCGGUAGUACUAGCCCGGCAAAGUGGCAUCAGAACAAAUCCAGUGUUCAUGUGACUCCAAUCUAUCCUGAUGAUGAAAGGUUGCCGCUGCCUUGGCUGAAAAUUAUUUGUGAUAAUCAUAAAAAUUGGUACCACCGUACUUGUUCCCCAGAUCUACCAACUUGUGCAUGUACAAGUCCAGUUCAUCUCUACGUUGGGAAAAAUUGUAGCAUAUUACGUCUCUAUAUAACCCAAAGGCUAGUACAUAGUCUGGUAUGGACAACUUUUUACCUAACCUAGGAUCUUUGACUUUGAGCACCACUGACAAGUCACCGUAGUUGUACAUCUUGUUUACUACUAUGUCUUGUGAUGCAAUCAGUAAGCACAAAUAACGUCCUUUCCCCCCAAUAAGUCUUUCUUGAUGUUGGGAGGGACCAUAUGUGCUGGUGUGAUAUGUGUAGCGGAACCCUGUAAAUUCUGUGUACCUGUGACAUUACCCUGCAAGACAGUUUGGUCGAUGAUUUGUGUAGGAGGGAUAUCUGGGGGACACACGGUAACUGGUGCUGGAGAUUCCAAAUUUUCCAUUCUUUGAUUCAAAUUAUUGAUGGAUGCCGGCAUGGCUGUCAUUGUGGUCUGAAUCCCUGUAAGGGUGUCAUUAAUGUUAUCUUGCAUACUGGACCCUGGCUCUGGAUUAUCCAUACUGGUCAUCAUAAUUAUGUAUAACUCGGUUUUAUGUAUAACUCUGCUCUGUGGCGAUCUUUCCAUAACCUUAAAGAACAGGGGUUUGAAGGGUCUUGAUUCUCGCCUCAUGUAGGGGCCGUAGUUGGAGUGGGUGGUCUAGCUGGCGUGCUGGGUAGGGAGAAGUCCUCUUCUUGGUCUGAUACCUGAGAUAUGCUAUAAUGAAAUUGAAAAGUGAGACUUAUCCCGAUAUGGUUAUUUGUGACAUGCGUUAAUUGGCGUCUCUUUAAAUGCCGGGUGGCAAAGAAUCUAACUACGUGUGAGAUGGUGAGGCCCUGCUAAUUGCCAAGUGGCAGAUAGAGGCGCUGUUUGUGAUUUGGCCUUGUGCUGUUCCAUUAAAACAAAGGCAGGGUGUAGGCCUCUGGGGAACUUGAUGUCAGGAUUACAAGUUGAUCCAGCACGUAGAACUGUUCACACCUAGGACUAAAAGGUAACGUCUUAGAAUGGCCGGAGUUAACGUACCAGAGAAUAGUCAGAAUACUUGCCGAGGUCAGGGACACAGAAUGAGACACAACGAUGAGGGAAAGCCAAAAGUCAGGGAUACCAGAAUACAGGGAAGUCAAACGAAGCCAAAGUCAAUUACCAGAAAAUAAACGCUCAGAAACAAACUCCCGGACAACCAUUAGGGAAACCACGACAGGGCAAAGAGGAGAAGUAAAAAUGAGUUUAAAUAAGCCCUUUACAAAUCUGAUUGACCGAAAUCGGCCUUUGACCCCAGAACGUGCUCACGGCGACGUCAUCAUCAACGUGGGCGGAAGUGGGGCUAUAAUUUGGCAUGGAUCUGCAGCGGCUGGCAUCCAUCAACAUGUUGCAGGAGUCAGGUACACUGAGGCAUGGCCGCUGAGCACAGAUACCGCAAGGUGAGGAUGAAUAUGUUUCAUUACCCCCCACCUAAAGACCGACCACCAGGCGGGCAGGACCUGGCUUGAGGGGACACUUGGAGUGGAAAUAACAAAUCUUGCGACGUGCAUGAAUAUCGUUGGCCGGAACCCAAGAAUGUUCAGCAGGCCCAUAACCCUUCCAAUCAACCAAAUACUGUAGUGAACCACGAGAGAACCUGGAAUCGAUUAUGGAAGAGACUUCGUACUCCUCAUGUCCAGAAACAACCAACAGGGGUGGCGGAACACUUGGGACAGUAUACUUUUUGCAAAUAAGUGGUUUGAGCAAAGAAACAUGAAACGUGUUAGGAAUACAUAAUGAGGCAGGGAGAGCCAGAGAAUACAAAACAAGAUUAAUUCUACAAAGAAUAUGAAAUGGACCAAGGUAUCUGGGAGCAAACUUCAUGCUAGGAACUUGAAGUUUAAUGUUGCAUGAUGAUAACCACACCCUCUCACCCACUGGCAAACAGGGAUGGCACCCCGCCGUUUAUCUGCAUGAAAUUUGAAAUGAUCAGCUGCAGUUUUGAGAGCGGAGUGAACUUUAGUCCAUGUAUCACGAAUAGAAGCAAGGUGAUCAUCCAAAGCAGGGAUAGCAGUGUCAGAGAAAACAGCCGGCAGAACAGUAGGAUGACGACCGUUAUUAACAAAGAAUGUACUAUGACCAGAGGAGUCAUGAUUAGCAUUGUUCCUGCUGCUCUAUUACAUUGUCUGCCUACCUUUAAGUCAUCAGAAAUAAUCACCCCUAAAUCCCUUUCCUCAUAUGUUGAGGUUAGGACUCUAUCAAAUAUUCUGUACUCUGCCCUUGGGUUUUUACGUCCAAGAUGCAUUAUCUUGCACUUUUCCACAUUAAAUGUCAGUUGCCACAAUUCUGACCAUUUUUCUAGUUUACCUAAAUCAUUUUGCCAUUUGGCNNNNNNNNNNNNNNNNNNNNNNNNNNNNNNNNNNNNNNNNNNNNNNNNNNNNNNNNNNNNNNNNNNNNNNNNNNNNNNNNNNNNNNNNNNNNNNNNNNNNCAAUGUCUACUGCACCACCCUGCUCUAUAAUUUUAGUUACCCAAUCAAAAAAAUCAAUAAGAUUAGUUUGGCAUGAUCUCCCUGAAGUAAAUCCAUGUUGUCUCUGAUCUUGAAAUCCAUGUGUUUUUAGAUGUUCAACAAUCUAUCCUUUAACAUGGUUUCCAUCACUUUCCCCACUACUGAAGUAAGGCUUACUGGCCUAUAGUUGCCCGACUCCUAUUACCUUUCUUGUAAAUGGGCACAACAUUCGCUAACUUCCAAUCUUCUGGGACUACUCCUGUUAACAAUGAUUGGUUAAAUAAAUCUGUUAAUGGUUUUGCUAGUACACCACUAAGCUCUUUUAAUAGCUUUGGGUGUAUUCCAUCAGGUCCCAUUGACUUGUCUUUACUUUUGACAGUUGAAAUAGAACUCUUCCUCUGUAAACUCACGUGUAAUAAAUGACUCAUUUAUCCUUUUUCUCUAGGGGUCCACUUUGCUUUGUUUCUUCUGUAAAUACAGAACAAAAAAUAUUCAUUGAGGCUUGAUCAGCCUGACCUUUAUCCUCUUCUACAUACCUUCUUCUUUUUGUUUUAAUCUAACUAAUCCUUGUUUUACUUUUCUUUUCUCAUUUAUGUAUCUAAAAAUGUUUUAUCCUUUUUUACUGACUGUGCUAUUUUCUCUUCUGUGUGUGUGAUUUGGAAGUAGCGCCUUGUAGCCUCUUUCUGCCUAAUCUUAUAGAUCAUUUUGUCUCUCCCUCACUCUGGGAACAUAAUUCCUAAAUGCUAACUUUUUGUUUUUAACUAUUUUGGCCACAUCUGCGGAGUACCACAGUGGUUUCUUGAAUUUUUUGCUUUUACUGACAAGCCUAAUGCAAUUUUCUGUUGCCUUCAAUAGUGCAACUUUUAAAUAAUCCCAUUUUUUCUUGGACUCCAUUUAAAUUGCUCCAGUCUGAUAAUGACUCCUCUACCCAUAUUCUAAUUUUAGAAAAGUCUGUUUUUCUAAAGUCUAAAACUUUUGUUUGUGUGUGGUGUGACUCAGUCACUGUUCUUAUAUUAAACCACACUGACUGAUGAUCACUGGAUCCUAAACUUUCACCUACAGUAAUAUCUGAUACCAAAUCUCCAUUUGUUAACACUAAAUCUAGUAUGGCCUCUUUACGAGUUGGCUUCUCAACAACUUGUUUUAGAGACAAUCCCAGUAGGGAGUUUAGAAUAUGUGUGCUUCUGGCACAAGUAGCUAAUUUUGUUUUCCAAUUUACAUCAGGAAGAUUAAAGUCACCCAUGAUGAUAACUUCCCCCUUCAUUGUCAUUUUAGCUAUUUCCUCAACUAGUAGAUUAUCUAACUCUUCAAUUUGUCCUAGGGGCCUAUAAAUCACACCUACACGAGUUACUGUAGGAUUACCAAAUUCUAACGUAACCCAAACGGACUCUAUGUUUGCCUCACUAACUUUUAUUAGGCUAGAUUUUAUGCUAUCCUUCACAUACAGGGCCACCCCUCCCCCUUUCUUGCCUUCCUUAUCUUUUCUAUAUAAAGAGUACCCUGGUAUUGCUAUGUCCCAGUCAUUUUUCUCAUUAUACCAUGUCUCAGUAACAGCGACUAAAUCUACACUAUCAGUUGCCAUUAUUGCCACAAGUUCAUGGAUCUUAUUCCUUAAACUGUGAGCAUUUGUAGACAUGACUCUAAGCUUAUUUUUUAACACACUUGUUACAGGCACCUUCUGUCCUUGUUUUGGGGGACAAUUGGAUUGAUGUUUUAUCACCCUUUUGCCCCCCCCUCCUAGUUUAAAUACAUCCUAGCAAAACCUCUGAACUGCUCACUGAGAACAUUUGUUUCCUUUUGAGAAAGAUGCAAACCAUCUUUUUUGUACAGCUUAUCUCCAUUCCAAACAGAGCUACCAUGAGAAAUAAAGCCAAAUCCUUGCUCCCGACACCAUUCACCAAGCCACAAAUUAAAGUCCCUAAUACGCAUCCGCCUGUCGUUCUGAGUGUUAUGCGCAGGCAGAACUUCAGAGAAUGACAGUGUGGAAGCAACCUGCCGUAUAUCAUUGGCAAAAACACUAAAAACUUCCUUAACCUCUGAAACCUCAUUGCAAGCCAGUCAUUUGUCCUAGAUGGACAAGUACAUCCAAUUCAGCCUGCUUUUAGCGCUAACAAUAUUACAGAUCGUCUCCUGUCUCUGUGAGCAGUAGCUCCGGGAAGACACCUCACAAGACCACCAUUGUCCAUCCUCUUACAUAAUGGAAUCACCCAACAACAACUGCUUUCUAUUAGGCCUCACCACCACCCAGUCUCAAGGCGGUCUCCCACAACACCACUAGCCUCCAGUGCCUCUCUCCACAACACCACUAGCCUCAGUGCCUCUCUCCACAACACCACUAGUCUCAGUGCCUCUCUCCACAACACCACUAGCCUCAGUGCCUCUCUCCACAACACCACUAGCCUCAGUGCCUCUCCUCACAACACCACUAGCCUUAGUGCCUCUCCUCACAACACCACUAGCCUUAGUGCCUCUCUCCACAACACGACUAGUCUUAGUGACUCUCUCCACAACACCACUAGCCUCAGUGCCUCUCUCCACAACACCACUAGCCUCAGUGCCUCUCUCCACAACACCACUAGCCUCAGUGCCUCUCUCUACAACACCACUAGCCUCAGUGCCUCUCUCUACAACACCACUAGCCUCAGUGCCUCUCUCUCCACAACACCAUUACACUCUGAAAGUGCAGAAAAUGAAUUAUGAAGAGCAACAGACUGUGCAAAAUGCCUUUUAUCCACAACUCUAAGUCUACCAGAUCCUACAGUAAUCCAUCUGCCUUUCCUAGUAUGUCUCUGCGGCAGUGGCUUUGCAGCAGUUCCAGUCUGAGUUUGUUCACCAGAUAAUUUACAAAUCUCAGACUUCAAAAAUACAAUCUCCUGCCGCAAGUUAGAGAACUGUCUACAGAUUAGACAACAACCAAACCUCCAAAAAGUGAAACGUGAAACAAAUGCAUAGCAAUUGUUACACUGAACUAAGUCUGCCAUUCCAAUUAGGAGAAUAAUUUAAAUCUAACAAAUCUUAACUUUGUAUUUAUCCUCCUGAAUACCUCAGAUUACCUCCAGUUUAUCUCCAGAAUAUCUCCAACUACACACUUAGAAACAGCACUUAGAAGUAGCACCAAGCUAUAUUAGACAAGCUAAUGACAACAAGCCUUAUAUAACUCCUAAAAUCACCACCCACUAGGAAUGUUUAACUCCUGGGUAGGCCUCUGCUUAUUUGCAAACAAUAGCUAAUUAACCAGCAAUCAAGAGCAAGUAACUCGCUUAAUCAAAUCAAAUGACUUAUAAUUACCAACAGGAGUUCAAACCUUGUGCAAUCAGUAACCUUUUCCUACAGAUGAAUUUUACCUGUAACAGUAGAAAAGAAAGCUCUUAGCACAACUCUUAGACAGUUGAAGCUUCUGUAAAACUCUCCAGAAUAUCUCCAACUACACACUUAGAAACAGCACUUAGAAGUAGCACCAAGCCAUAUGCCGGAAAUAGGUAUAAUAGGGAAUGUAACUUACUGGUCUGUAUAUUUGUGGUACAGAUCGCGUAUUCAGGUAGAUCUUUACUGUGGUUUUACCUAGUAUUCUUUAGACUGACAUUAACCCCCUAUGACGAAAGUAUUAAACAUUUAGAGCUAGGAUUAUGUCUAGUAUAUUGAUAUCUUAACUACCCAGAUUAUGAAUUUGCACGAGUUUCAAUGUACCGUGUAUACAAGAAAUAUCAAUUUAACAGGAUGGGAUUCGAGAGAGUAUUGAUCUGAAUUCUGAAAGUACAUAAUGACAAUACGAGCGUAUUUUGGUAUAUAUAUAAGGCAAUUCCCGACUGAAUGACCAUAUUUAGCCUUUAAACUUACUACUAAACUUAGCUUACAUGACGUUCACUAUUUGACUAAAGCAAAACUCAUUUAAACAAAGCUAAUUAAACAAAGCAUAAUUAAUAGAUUUUAACUUAAUUAACCACCCAAUGCCAUAAUUGCAUUCCUUGUUUNNNNNNNNNNNNNNNNNNNNNNNNNNNNNNNNNNNNNNNNNNNNNNNNNNNNNNNNNNNNNNNNNNNNNNNNNNNNNNNNNNNNNNNNNNNNNNNNNNNNAUGGGGGGCAAUGUGUGUCUAUGGGGGCAAUGUGUGUGUAUGGGGCAGUAUGGGGGGCAAUGGGUGUGUAUGGGGCAGUAUGGGGGGCAAUGUGUGUCUAUGGGGGCAAUGGGUGUGUAUGGGGCAGUAUGGGGGGCAAUGUGUGUGUAUGGGGCAGUAUGGGGGGCAAUGUGUGUGUGUGUGUGUGGCCUACCUGUCACUGGAGGAUGUUGCUGGAGUCAGGCAGCCAUCUUCUGCAGCAGCAUGGGCUGCUGCAUUACGGCGGGGGCGGGGCUUAUCGGCGGGAGGUGGGGCUUCGUUUGGGGGCGGAGCCUGUGCCGGGGAGCCAAUCAGUGCUCCCUCCGGCCACAGACCGCCCCCAGCACCUCAGCACUGCAUUCCCUCGGGCUGUAACAGGCUGUUACAGUCCGAGGGAAGCCCAUGGCCAGCAAGUUGCCGGCAUUUGGGGGGGCCCAAGGGGGGGCACAGCAUGAUGUAGGGGGGGCCAUGGCCCCCUCUGGCCCCCCCCUAGCGACGCCACUGCAUUUAAGACCACAAGAAAAGCUACCGACAUUUAAGUCCACAAGAGAGUACAGCACAGUACCAAUAUAUAAAUGAUCUACCAAACCCAAAGUGUCAAUUAUUUUUAUUAUUAUUAUGUUAUAUAUAUAUAGCAUCAUCAAAUUCUGCAGCUCUUUACAAUGGGUGGACGAACAGACAUGUAGUUGUAACCAGACAAGUUGGACACACAGGAACAGAGGGGUUGAGGGCCCUGCUUAAUGAGCUUACAUGCUAGAGGAAGUGGGGUAAAAUGACACAAAAAGGUAAGGAUAGUAUUAGACUAGUGACAGUUGCAGAAGAGGAAUCAGUCAGGAGCUAUUAACAGUUUAAUUGAUACGCUAUUAUGAAGAAGUAUAUUUUUAAUGAUUUUUUGAAGGAGUGGAGACUGGAUAAGCAUCUAACGGAGGAGGAAGCGAGUUCCACAGGAAUGGUGCAGCCCUCGAGAAAUCUUGAAGGCGAGCAUCAGAGGUGGGAGUACGGACAGAAGAUAGUAAGUCUUCAGCAGAUCGUAAGGGCUUAGACGGGACAUACUUGUGUAUAAGGGAGGAUAGAUAGGUGGGAGCAGCAUUAUGUAGAGAUUUGAAAGUAAGAACCAGAAUUUUAAAUUGAGCUCUAUAUUUUAUAGGAAGCCAAUGUAGGGACUGACAAAAGGGUGAGGCAUGGGAGGUGCGGGCGGACAGGAAGAUGAGCCUCGCUGCCGCAUUCAUUAUGGACUGUAACGGUGCAAGUUGGGAGCACGUAAGACCACUGAGAAGCGGAUUACAGUAGUCAAGGCGAGAAAGGACAGUGAAAUGGACCAACACCUUAGUCGCAUCUGGCGUUAAGUAGGGGCGGAUGCGCGCAAUGUUUUUGAGAUGGAAAUGACAGGAUUUGGUGAUAGAUUGAACAUGAGGCUUGAAGGAGAGGUCAGAGUCAAAGAGAACACCUAGGCAGCGAGCCUGCAUGGUGGAGCUGAUGGUAGCACCGUUGACUUGGAGGGAGACAGACAUAGGAGUAACAACACUUGAGGGAGGAAAGACCAGAAUUUCAGUUUAGUUCAAGUUUAGUUUAAGGAAGUGGGCAGCCAUCCAGUUAGAAAUAGCAGAGAGGCAGAGACACUAGUCAAGAGGGACGGGGAGAGAUCAGGAGAGGACAGGUAGAUUUGCGUGUUAUCUGCAUAGAAAUGAUAUUGGAAGCCAAAGGAGCGAAUGAGUUUACCAAGGGAGGCAGUAUAGAGGGAGAACAGUAGGGGACCAAGGACUGAACCUUGGGGGACACCAACAGAGAGGAGUUGGGGAGAAGAAGCAGAGCCAGAGAAAGAAACACUGAAAGAGCGCUGGGAGAGGUAGGAGGAGCACCAGGAGAGAGCAAUAUCUUAUAGACCAAUAUUGCGGAGGAUGAGAAGAAGCUGUUGAUGACCAGCAGCGUCAAAAGCAGGAGGCUUCCGAGUCUGCAGGAAGCAUAGAGCCUUGGCGUUCCUGCACUUUUCUAUAGCAAGAAACGCGUUCCGUUACCUGUCACAGGACACGGCCCUGCUCCUGCACAGAGGGCCAUCACAUACUGUGAUUUCCUCUCCAGCUAUAACUCUCGCGAGACCCGCGGCUGUUACCAUGGCAGCGCUCCGCACAGGCGAGUCUCGCGAGAGUUAGAGCUGGAGAGGGAACACAGCGUGUGAUGGCCCCUCUGUGCAGCGGCUGGCUCCCUCCAGCAUACCACCGGACCACCAGGCGAUCUCCCCCCUCCCUGACAAGGUAAGAAGCAGGGAGGGGGGAAUAAAAUAAAAAAAUAUAGACACAUAAAGUUAAAAAAAAUGCUCCCCCCCCCACAUCAUCCAGCACUCACACACCCAUCAUCCAGCACACACACACCCAUCAUCCAGCACACACACACCCUUCAUCCAGCACUCACACACCCAUCAUCCAGCACACACACACACCCAUCAUCCAGCACUCACACACCCAUCAUCCAGCACUCACACACACAUCAACCAGCACUCACACACCCAUCAUCCAGCACACACACACACACACACCAUCCAGCACUCACACACACACCCAUAAUCCAGCACUCACACACCCAUCAUCCAGCACUCACACACCCAUCAUCCAGCACUCACUCACACACCCAUCAUCCACUCACACACCCAUCAUCCAGCACACACACACACACCCAUCAUCCAGCACACACACACACACACAUCAUCCAGCACACAGACACAUACACACACACACACAUCAUCCAACACACACAUCAUCCAGCACACACACACAUCAUCCAGCACACACAACACAUCCAUCAUCCAGCACACUCACACACCCAUCAUCCNNNNNNNNNNNNNNNNNNNNNNNNNNNNNNNNNNNNNNNNNNNNNNNNNNNNNNNNNNNNNNNNNNNNNNNNNNNNNNNNNNNNNNNNNNNNNNNNNNNNGAUGCUCGCUUCUUUUUAUGAUUUACAUCAUAAACCUUAACUCCCAAGGUCUCUCCUGUCUCAAUUGGCAACAGGAAGAAGGAUGGUUUGAGCAUACUUAAUAUACAUGCCCCUUCCCAAUCUUGUGGUAACUCUGAAUAUGCUUUCUUACCACAGAUCCAAUAUAAAUUCGCUGGGGCUUUCCAAUUGGAUGUAGCAGAUAAGUCAAACCAUACCUCUUUUAAAUGGGUGUAAUUGGUAAACGGAUUAGUAGGCUCUGAGACAUUUGAAGCUGACCACCAAGUAGUAUCUUUAGUAUCGGCAUUAUAGGCUUUCUGUCCUAGACAUAUUAACUCGCCAACAGGUGUGGUAUACAAUGGCCCUUUCCUGGCUAAACAUACAUGACCUAUUAUGUAGGUUUUUAACCGCCACUCUGAUUUACCUCUAGUACUUACUUGAUGAUCAGACUGAGAAAGUAUUUGUUGUUCAUCUGUCUCAGAACCAGGGUACCAUAUUUCCUUUGCCUCCCAUGGCCACUGGUCUCCCAUAUUAGUACCUCCACAUACAAAGCAAUUAGUUCCAUUAAGACUACCUGCAAUAAUCUCAGUCAAAUCAAUAAAUAGGUUCUUAACAUUAUGGGGAAUUUUAUCCUCAACACUCAUCUCCUCAUAAAAGAAAUGAAAAACCUGAUGAGUUUGAGUUGAUAUCGUCUCAGUUUCAAGUCCUACAUAUAUUAUGUUUCCUGGGUCUACUCCUGUGCCAUAUAUUUGGAACCCAAAUAGAUUUCCAAACUUAUCAAUAAAAUGUUGUGGAUUAGAGAUGGUCAUAUGGACAGGAUUACAUUCCAUAGACUUACAGUGUGGUGUAGUGGGCAACCUUUGGAUAAUCAUAUCUUGAUCCACUGUUUUUCCCGAGGUCGCCCACCCUACACAAGCAGUGGAGGAUCCAGGGGGGGCAACGGGGCAAUUGCCCCCCCCCCCCCGAGAAUACCAACAGUCUCUCUCUCCCCUUCCAGCACAUGCAGUCUCCCUCCCCGGUCCGCAGGCACCGUGCUGGCAGCCGGCGGGGGAGGGAGUGAGAGAGGACCCGGGAGCUCAGCCUGCAGCUCCUCCAGGUUCUCCUCUCGCGAGAUUUGGAGCGUUGACGUGGUUACCACGGCAAUGCUCCAAAUCUCACGAGAAUGAACUCUCCCCACUGGGACCACCAGGGAAUCACCACUGGCCCACCAGGGACACGUUCCCCCUCCCCCCCAGUAAAGGUAAGAAGGGAAGGGGGACAUAGAAUAUAUAUUUUAAUUAAAUUAAAAUAUAUAUAUAUAUAUAUAUAUAUAUAUAUAUAUUAUAAAAAAGCCCCCCUUACCUUAUCACACACACACACACUCUACACACACACAUAUUGCCCCCCAUACACACACACUGCUCCCAUACACACACACUGCCCCCCCAUACACACACACUGCUCCCCAAUACACACACACUGCGCUGCCCUGCCCCCAUAUACACACACUCUACACAUACACUGCUCCCCAUACACACACACACAUUGCCCACACUCACACAUACACUGCAAUACUCACACACACACAUUGCAACUGUUAUACACACAUACUGUCCCACACAUACACUGCUGCCCUCACACACACUACAACCUUCACACACUACACACACACUGUCCCCCCCCCACACACAGACACACUGCACCCCUUACACAUUGCACCACUCACACACACCACUGCUCCUAUGCUCUACUACUGCCCCAUUUCCCAGCAGACCUCAGGUAAGUUGUCAAACUGUUCUUAAACGGUUUGACUACUUACUCUGGGAGGGGGUCCCGGCACUAUUGACACCAUAACCACUACACUGAGCUGUAGUGGUUAUUGUGUCUGGAUUAUUUCAUUAAAUAAUCUACAAGUGUCCCUCCCGAGAUCAGGCUCUGGAUCCGCCACUGUACACAAGAUCAAUAUGGACAAAAAUUAAAAUCCCUAUUUGGGCAAUCAGGAUCAGUAGAUCUCUUACUGGGACAUAAAUAUUUAUCAUUAAACCCAUAAGUUCGUUCCCAUUUAAGAUCACCACAUACAUUCCAAGGUUUUCUACUACCAGAGAUCGCCUUACAUGCAUCAAAUAGUAGAAUGCCCGUAGAAUGUAUAGUAUUUAUCACAGUCCUGUUUAUCAAGGUCCCCUGGGAGUUACUUUUCCGAAUUACCAACCAAAUUGUACGGGGUUGGAAUUGGGGAUCAAAACAUUUAGGCUAUCCUGACAAUUGGUUUGCAUACACUGUAAUCUAUAUCUAAAUAUCUACACUUAGAUACAGAUCCCCUACACUCAUACUGUGAGUGCCAAAUGAGAGUUUGGGAUAUUUGGUUACCUGUUUUUGUAGUCUUAAUGCAGCUAACACAACUCUGUAUGUCCUCAACUUUACCUUCCUGAAAAAUCACAAAAAUGCCUAAACACAUAAUAUAACAUUAUUUCAGAAGUCCUCAUUUCUACUGUUCAACUGUGCGACGGCACCUCAGCUUCUCGAUUGUGAGGGCUGCAAGGAUUGUCGUUCUUCUGAUCCUCACUUUUCUUCACAGAGGUCCCUUCGAGACACUCUGGCUAUGACACGUAGGUAUGUGGUCAGGCUUUAUUAUGGCCGUCAAAACACCUACUUGCGGAUAUCUGUUACUUUCAACUAAGAUGUCCCAAUAUCUUCUCAUAUUAUUUCUCACUCCGACUGAGCUACCCGCUUUAACCGGAUCUUGUAAGGAUUUUCAGAAUCUGGAAUAGCUUGCCAAGAAUCUGCCGCUGGUUUAACCCUAGAACAGGGGUAGGCAACCUACGGCACUAGUGCCAUGCACGGCACUCAAGGCUGCUAGAGCCAAACGCACUCUGGUCUAUCAGGAGUUCCAGUAAAACUUCAGUAUCUGCUAAUACGAAGAGGUGGUGAAGGACAAUCCUCAAUUUAUGCAUUGCAGCACAUAGAGGAAACGAUCUCAGAUCACUUCCUCCCAGCACUUGUGAAUGGGAAUCCACACUGUAGUAGAGCAGCCCUCGACAGCUAUCGCAGCUCCUGGUCCCCACUGGAACCCAAGAACCCACCCACACUGCUAGAUAUACAAAGAAAUGCAGAAUAACCCUCCCCUCAUACAAAUAAUAUGAACAGCCCACACAAUCCCCACAAACGCAACACCACUAACAAUCCACAUACAUUCACACAAUCCCACAUGCAGCCUCUCACAUGUAAUACCCCAAACAGCCCCCACACACUACCAAACACACAAUGUGACAUAUCCAUCCACAACAAUUCCACAAGCAGCCCCCAUACACAGCACACAUUCAUAUGUAUCAUACACGAUACCAUAAACUACUAAUGAACAUAUACAAUAUAAUAGCUCAUAUACGCACAUAUACGACGAUACAAAGCAAUUACAGUAAAAAUAACACAAGCAGAACACGGCAGCAUACACACCUCAUUUUAAAAAAAUAGGAUCAGCACGCUACGGUUCAUCACAAUCCUAUAUCGGCACAGUGCUGCUACAAGGUUGCCUAGCUCUGCCCUAGAAUGAUGAAUCCACUGAGUCACUUCUGCCACCUUUACAGCUGUUGGAGUAGAUAAAAGAACAACAUAAGGACCCCUCCACUUUGGACCUAAUGGAACAAUAUUCCAUUCUUUUAUCUACACUUGAUCUCCCGGUUGAUAGAAAUUAACAGGUGGAUAUAUGUUCACAGGUAACCUAUCUUGCACCCAUUUCUGUACUUCCUCUAUAGUUUUACCCAACUCUACAACCUGCUGCUGAAUAAUUCCUUCACCCAACUGAUUCAAGUCCCCCCUGAGAUUACGGAGUAUGGAAGGUGGACGCCCAUACACGAUUUCAAAGGGAGACAGAUCCAUUCUUCUGGUAGGAGUACUACGUAUCCGCAACAGAGCUAUUGGCAAAAGGACAUUCCACUUGAGCUGAGUUUCCUGACACAUUUUAGCCAAUUGGGUUUUUAUUGUUCUGUUCAUCCUUUCCAGAACUCUGAGGUCUAUAUGCUGUAUGAAGUUUUGGAUUACUUCCCAAUUAUCUCCAGGACAGAGGGAGGGAAGUUAGGAUGCAUUGUGGGGAUGUUGUACCUCUGCGUGUCUGUCAUUGGUUCACAUCUGUCCUUUGUCACAGUCUCCCAUUUGGUCCCCUAGGGGAGUGUCCACCAGGUGGGAGACCUGCAUAAAUACUGGGCAGGUAGCCCUCAUUAAACCUGUUCACUGCUUGAUCCUCAACACGAAGCUCUGUCUCGUCUUUGGGUGGAUUUACUGUAUGCUGUUAGAGACUGAUUGCCAGGAGUGUAAGCCGCUUGGGUGCUUUUCCUGUUCAUCUGCUAUUCGUGAGGUUCCAGUUCGGGAGUUUGGAGUGCUACUUUGUAUGCAGUUCGGGAGUUUGAAGCAUUCCCUUGUAUGCAGUUCGGGAGUUUGGUGUUCUGCAGUAGCUGUGCCUGUAUCUCUGGAAGGGGAAGAUCUUCUAAACGGCGGUUUAUCCCUUUUAUACUGAGGGUGCCGUUACAAUUGGUGGCAAGCGGCGGGAUCGUUCCCACAGCCAGAAGGACAGCUACAUGAGACACCAUUUCUUUGGUGGGCAGAGACCAGCAGUACUCUGCCCUGGUGCCAGCACUACCACGGGAGUAGUCUGGUUGGAGCGACCCUGACAGCACCAGGAUGGAACCAGCAGUGGCGUACAGCUACUCUAUGAAAGAGUUUGACAAUAGGAUGGGAUUGCGGCUGAAGUACUAGAGACCCAAUCCACCGGAGAAAAUCGGUGCAGCUUAUAAGGAAACUAAUGUUCAAGAAUCUGCAAUACCGGGCAGAAAGGGAAGGUCAGCUGGCACGUUGGGAGGAACUCCAGCGGCAGGUACUGCAGGGAAUAGGGAGCCCAGUCUCCAUUCCCCAGCGGCAGAGUGAUAUGCAGGGAAUUGGGAGCUCAGUCUCCAUUCCCCAGCGGCAGUGUAAUUUAUUGGGAAUUGGGAGCCCAGUUUCCAUUCCACAGCGGCAGGCUGAGUUACAGGGAACAAAGAUAGUGGCUCCUGUACCCCAGCAGCAGAGUGAAUUGCAGGGAAUUGGGAGCCUAGUCUCCAUUACCCAGCAGGAGAUACAGCAGGGAAGUGGGAGCCCAGUCUCCAUUCCCCAGCAUAAGAUACAGCAGGGAAUUGGGAGCCCAGUCUCCAUUCCCCAGCGGCAGAGUGUCCUACAGGGAAUAGGGAGCCCAGUCUCCUUUCCCCAGCAGCAGGACUCUGUAUUGGGAGCAGAGACAGUCAGUCUCCCUUCCCCGCGGCUGGAAGUAUGUAUGGGAGAGGAGCUUGUUACCAGGGGGGGACAGUAAGCCUCACAACCGUGCAGAUGAGACCGUGGUCUCUGCAUUUACAGCACAGGGGGUAGGGAUGGUCGGUCCUGCCCCUCAGCGACAGGGCUGUUUAGCCAAAGGGGAGACAGUCGGUCUCCCCCUCCAGCCACCAGGCUCCAACCAGACUACUCCCGUGGUAGUGCUGGCACCAGGGCAGAGUACUGCUGGUCUCUGCCCACUCAGCAACCCACCAAGUCAGCUUACCAGUCACCCACACAGCCAGGGUGAGGCACUUGGACAUGGACAAAGUUCUCCUCUAACCAGGUGUAGUAACCAGUUAUUGUGGGUGGGCUGUAUUACUGAUUGUGUGUUGUGGGUGGGCUGCUGGACUAACCAGGGCACUGACCGGCAGGAGGUCAGAUACCCUGUUAGUCUGUUUGGAAAAGGGGAGAGAUGUGACGAGACCAAUCUCGCCACAUUGCAUUGGAGAAGCCUGGUUGCUCGCCUGUCGCCUUCUUGCUUCUGCAUAGGAUCUGAGCGCUAUUCGGUACUUUUGUGCGCUCAGAUCCAAGCUAUCUGGGGAUAGGUAGAAUGUAUAUGUUUUGUGCAACAGUUGUAACUUUAUACAUUUUUAUGUCUUUUACUGCCAUGUGGUUAAUGGAGUUUUGCCUCUGUCCUGGGAGAUAAUUGGAUUACUUCCCAAUUAUCUCCAGGACAGAGGGAAAUUAGGAUGCAUUGUGGGGAUGUUGUACCUCUGUGUGUGUCUCAGUGGUUCACGUCUGUCCUUUGUCACAGUCUCCCAUUUUGUCCCCUAGGGGAGUGUCCACCAGGUGGGAGACCUGCAUAAAUACUGGGCAGGUAGCCCUCAUUAAACCUUCUUCACUGCUUGACCCACAACACGGAGCUUUGUCUCGGUCUUGGGGGAGAUUUAUUGUAUGCUGUUCCAGUACGACUGCUAGGAGUGUAAAUCUUUCGUAUGGUUUUUCAUAUUCGGCUGUUUACGGCAUUCAUAUGGUUUCCUGUUCGGCUGAUUGGUGUUCUGCAGUAGCUGUGCCUGUGUCUCUGGAAGGGAAGAUCUACUAAACGGCGGUUUAACCCUUUUAUGCUGAGGGUGCCAUUACAGGUACAACUGGGUGUAUAUUGACUACUGCGUCAUUAACUGCUCUCAAAUCUUGUACAGGACGAUAUUCAUCUAAUCCUGGUUUCUGAACAGGUAAUAAUGGAGUGUUCCAGGGGGAAGUGCAGAAUUUUAGGAUGCCAUACCUUACGAACUUAUCCAAGUAGGUCUGUGUGUUUUUCUUAGCCUUUUGAGGUAUAUGAUACUGACGUAGGCUCACAGGAUAGGCCUCAAGCUUUAGUUCAAUAUGUAUAGGUGGAAUAUUACGGGCAAGCCCAUACUCCUGGAAUGUCAAAUAAAGGUUCAUCACUCUUAGGGUUUACACUUGUCAUUAUGGAGUAGAAGCGCCAUUCUUCUUCCCUUGGCACUGAUACCGCCAUUAUGUCAGGUAAUCCAUUAAACCUCAGAGACGUUGAUCCAUUAGGUAGAAAAGUUAUCUGGGCUUGAAGCUUCAAUAAUAGAUCUCGUCCUAAAAGUUGAAUCGGACACUCUGGCAUAUAUAGGAACUGGUGCUUCACCAAAUGGCCUCCCAGAAUGCAAGUGCGACUUUUAAGAACCGGUCUAGCUGCGCUUCUCCGAGUAGCUCCUAUCACAGUUAUAGUUUUUCCUGAAGGCGGAGCCACCAGUUUAGUCACCACGGAAUGUCAGCACCAGUAUCAUGAAAGAACUUCUCUUUACCCCUAUUGCUACAUCGACCAUAGGCUCCGCUCGGCCAAGGGGGAUGGAGCCCGGUCGGUAUCAAUAGUCUUCCAUGAUAGUGUCAGCCAGACCCACAAAAUCUCUAUCCUCUAUCUCUUGGUCUCUGAGUAGGUGGAUAAUAUCUAUCUCCUUGAACACUCCCUCUACUAUUCCUACCGUUCCCUCCAAAACUUCCUCUUCCUCUAUAACUACCACUAUAACCUCCCCGUACUCUUCUCUCUCCUUGUCUAUUAUUUUCAUAAUGCUCUCUCUGUGGACACUCAUUCUUCCAAUGUCCUUCCUCUCUACAAAACGCACAUUGAUUCCUACUUAAAGGUCCCUUACUCAGCCUAUUCUCGACUCCUUUAUUCACUUCCCUGUCUUUCUACACUUGUGAUAGCUACCGCUAUAUAUUCUUCUUCAUUUUACAUUCUUCCUCCCGCUUUAUCUCAGUUUCCCUAUUCAUAUACACUUUUUUUUUGUGAUCUCCAUUAGCUGUGAUAUGGACAUCCCUACAAAUCCCUCUAACAUUUGCAAUUUUCUUUUAAUAUCACUUUGGGCCUGGCUGACAAAUGCUGAGUUAAUCGUUCGAGAAUUCUCAGGGGCCUCUGGAUUAAGAGGAGUAUACAAUCUAUAGGACUCCAAUAAGCUUUCAUAAAAGGCACUAGGUGACUCAUCAACCUUUUGCAACACCUCAGCCAUCUUUGACAUAUUGAUUGCCUUCUUCCCUCCUGCCUUCAUGCCAACAAUAAUGGCUUCCCGAUAAGCCCUUAAUUGGGUCAUGUCAGCACCAUUCACAUUCCAAUUUGGAUCAACAUUUGGAUAAUGGGCUGCAGCCCAUGCAGCUGGAUUGGCCUGAUUUUGAAUACGGGCAGUUUCCUCAAGCGCUUUAAUAGCCGCUUGAUUAAUCCGGGUCCUUUCCUCACAAUUAAAUAAAGUUAAUAAUAAUUGCUGGCAAUCGGCCCAGGUGGGAUUGUGAGUUUGUAUAAUAGAGGUAACCAAAUCUGUCAUGACUUGAGGUUUGUCGGUAUACUAAGAGUUAUGAGUCUUCCAAUUGAAUAGAUCAGUUGUGGUGAAGGGGACAUAGACAAACACUAGAUCUGCCCGUUGUAUUUGGCCAUUUUCAUCAACGUGUGUUGGGCCCGGUGUAAGUCGGAGGGGCAUUUGGUAAUGUCGGGGUUGAAGGGUACCAGUCAUCUGUUGGGUUAAUAUAGGACUUCGGCGAGGCUGUUUUAUAGUAAGUUCCGGUUUAGGGGUAGUAAGGUAAGGAGAAUGAGGCAGGUUAAUUUCACCGGGCGGAAGUUCAGUCAACAGGAUGUUGCAGGCCGGGCUGGGAGGAGCCUGACCAGGAACCAGAAGUGACGUUAAUUCCGGAUAUAUAGAACUAGUGGAGGUAGGUACCGGAAGGGGAGGACUCAGGGCAAGUGAGCAGGGCUCUAAACUAGAUGAUUGAGUGGGCAGGGACAAUAGGAAAGGGAGAGUGGCAACACCAGCAGCACCUCCUCUAACCUUAGAGGAGGAGUAAGGGGGUGGGGAGGGAAGUCCAGACUCAGAGGGAGAGUAUAAAAUGGGCAGGGUUGCGGCCCUGAUGGACAGACGAGUCCUGGCCACCAUGAGGCGACAUUGCUCCUCUUGGCAUACCUUAAUCCAUUUAGGCAAUUCCUCCACAAUCUGUUUCCAACAAUCAAUAUACGGAAACUGAUCAUAGAAUUCAGGCCUACUAGAUACAACCGCAUGCACACGUUGCACUAGAGUUAGAUCGAGACUACCACGUGGAGGCCAUGCGGUCACCAAGAUAUGGAGAAGCAGAGAAGUUGGCACACACAAUUGAUAUUUUUCUCCUUUAUAAUCUGAAAUAAAUAUAACAGAACCUUCAUAGGGUAACAUAUAAAAGAAAAAUUUCAGUUAUAUGUAUAACAGGAAAAACUCACAAUUUGGAGAGCCAUAUAAGUCGGCUCUCUACUAAAAAGGCCGGUGAGUAAUCCCAAAAUGACAAGCAGCCGCAGUGAUGAUGGACCCCCAGGGAAAGAGUUGCUUCAAAUCCACCUGGACAGAAUUUCAGGAACCCAAAGUCGCUCAAAAAGGUUGUCUUUAUUACAUAUAAAAUAAAUAAAGGUAUAAAAAACAGUAGCACAACACGUUUCGACCAAUAUACUGGUCUUCCUCAGGUGCAUAAAACACAAGUACACAUAACAAUGUAAAACACAUGUAAAUAAUUACAGUAACCCAUCCCACAAUGUCCAUAUAUGGAGGUUCCAUUUUUCUUAUUCCUCCUCCAAGAUGGUGGCAUCUGGUAUAUUCCAUUGUUAUCCAAAGGGGGCUGACCUUUCCAAGAUGGCAACAUGAGCAGUAUAUCCAUGAAAGUCACUUCCGGUUCACGGCGUGACGUCACUUCCGGUUUCGUCUAAUCAAGGGAAGCAUUUCCAAUUGUCACAAGAACUCCAGGCAUAGAGUAGAAGUCCGCCAUAUUUAAAAAGGGAAAGGAAGAGGGCAAACACAGAGAGAGCAGGAAUGCCAAGAUAAAUAGAUUAAAACCACAAUAAAACAUUAUAUGUAAUUAUUUACAUGUGUUUUACAUUGUUAUUAACUAUGUUAGGUAUUUAAACCUGUUAUGUGUACUUGUGUUUUAUGCACCUGAGGAAGACCAGUAUAUUGGUCGAAACACGUUGUGCUACUGUUUGUUAUACUUUUAUUUUAUAUGUAAUAAAGACAGCUUUUUUGAGCUACUUUGGGUCCCUGAAAUUCUGUCCAGGUGGAUUUGAAGCAACUCUUUCCCUGGGGGACCAUCAUCAUUGCGGCUACUUGUCGUUUUGGGAUUACUCACCUGCCUUUUUAGUAGAGAGCCGACUUAUAUGGCUCUCUAAAUUGUGAAUUUUUCCUGUUAUACAUAUAUCUGAAAAUUUUCUUUCAUUUGUUGCCCUAUGAAGGUUCUGUUAUAUUUAUUUCAGAUUAUUAAGGAGAAAAAUAUCCAUUGUGUGCGCCAACUUCUCUCUGUUUCUCCAUAUUUGAUGUAAGUGUUUUGGGUGAUAAAACACUUGUGUAGCUUGAGACGUACUGGGAUACAGGUUAUUUGAUUUAUAGCGACAUUUAUACACAUUUUCUCUGUAGGCCACUCUCUACUACAUAAUGUAGUCAAACGCUUUGGGGAUAAUUGCACCCGAAAAUCACAAACUUUAUAUCACUUUGCAAAGUUUUUCAACAUACACGACAAGGGAUCAACAAUUUUUGAGUCAGACGCACCCAUACUGGCAACGGAGCGUCUAAUACAAAGAAACACAAUACCCCAAACACACUUCCAACGAUCACACUUGUUUCCCUGGCAACAGCACCACGUGGCACAGUUGCUAGGCCAAACACACACACAGGAAAACAAGCAGAGAAUUCUCGUACAUACAGUGAUAUCACAAUGUCUCACUCACAAAGAUUUACCAGACACUAGAUACUUAUCUCUGUAACUAUAAAUCAAACCCUACAAUUAUCCACAUUAUAAAUCAACUUUUAACUAACCGACUAUAUCACAUUCUAGUAACCUCAUCUUUACAAUCAGUGGUUAUGGUACGGUUAGCAAGUGGUUAUAAUACAGUUUUAAAAUCACAGAUCAGUUAGUAACAGUUGUGGUGUUACACAUAUAACAUAAGACAACAGUAUUUAGUAAUUUUUACACAACGUCAGUAGUUAUAGUACAUGUUAAUGGUUAUAAUACCGUGCACGAUUAUACAGUAUACACAAUUUACACUCCCACUAGACGGCAGAGCUCAAGCUUUCUAGCAGGACAUACAAUUCACCAACUACAGUAUAUUUAAAAACAUUUACAAUAAUCCCAACUAUUCUAAUUGGCCAGCACCUCGAGAACUAUCAAACUAUUUACACCAGGAUUCAGUUAGUCUACGCUGUCCAAGCACCACAUAUAGCGAACCAGUGGGCGGAAUUUACAACAGUACCCAUUUAGUCUAUCUACUCUAUCAAUAGUCUAGUGGCUAAAUUUACAACCGCGCACACUUAGCCAAGAUAGGUUGAGAACUAGCAGACGGAAUGUACACCAAAAUCUGCAUAGUCUCGCCGGCCUCCCUGACCUAACGACCGAAAUUUACACCUAGACACGCUAGUCAAGACACGACACCGGUGUCCGGCAUAAACUAUUUACACCAAAAUUUAGCCUGACCCAAACCACCUAUAUUAGACGGGCUGACUACAGAGCAUCUAAUUUCCAGAUAAGUGUUGCGCCUUUGCUUCUUCCCUGGAGGGGGCAAUCCAAUAACCGGUUCCAAAUAUAAAACCCCUUGUGGGCCUACCGCUCUAACGGUAUCAGGUUUACCUCUUCGUUCCUGAACCUGGGCUCACACUCAUCGACGGGGCACCCCGGUACUUACUAUGUGUGGCGGAACCAGCUUCGCCACUGGGCAUUGGAGAAGACGGAUUGCCGGCCUCCUGCCCUGUGACUAUGGCCCCAUGUUGAAAGGAUGGAUUUUCCCCUGCAAAUACCCAAAAGCUGGGUCUUUCGGUACUUUCCCUAUGUGAGCAGUGUUAGCUAUGCCAUGGAGCCCAUUUGUAUAAUGAAAGACUAUGGGAAAGACUUUGGCUCCAUGGCAAUUGAACUGUAUGUGUGUGCUCUGAGCGCCAUUCAAUAAUAAUGUGAGCUCAGAUCUGAGCUGUCUAGGGAUAUGUUAAAUGUACCUGUUUUGUGCAAUGGCUGCACAGUUAUAUGUUUUUAUGUGUUUUAUUGUCUUUUGCUGCCAUGUGGCUAAUGGAGUUUUGCCUCUGUCCUGGAGAUAAUUGGAUUACUUCCCCAAUUAUCUCCAGGAUAGAAGACUCUGUGGAACUGGUUUUGGGCAGAAAAGCCAUGCUGCAUUUGGUCAAAUAGGACUUUUCCUUAACUUUUGAACCACUGGACCAAUAUGUAUGAUUUUGACAUAUGUUUGUAUUUGGAGUAUGCUGAUUCUGAAAAUGUAAGUGAAUGUGAUGCAUACGUUUCAAGUUAUGAAUAAUGUGGAAAAACUGUAUUUCUCUGGCUGUGAUAAUUAGAUUAACCAUUCUGUUCAGUAAUCAUAUCACAGCCAGAGGGGAGGAUUUUGUGUGGGAGUGUCUUUCUGUAAUGUACGUGUGUUAUUGGUUGUUAUGUAAAACCCUGUGGGCAGUACUAAGUUUGUGGAUUGGGAAUAAAAGAGGCUGUAUGUGCCAGUCCAGUCAGUUCCUGCUUAACCCUCAAAGUGAAGUGUCGUCUCAUUAUUGGGGGAGGAUUUAUUGUAUGCUGUUCCAGUUUGACUGCUAGGAGUCUAAACCCAAUCCAUAUGGUUUUUGCCUAUUCAGCUGUUUAUAGCAUUCAUAUGCUUGAGAGAAGGUAUACGCUUCUUCGGUUCGGUGAUUGUGGUGUCGGCCAGAGUGCUUGGAGUCCUCAGGAAACGCUAGGAGCAUCCUUUAACGGAGGUACCCAGUCGGGGUGCCAGGUGAUCCGUUACACUAUGUAAAGGCUGAUGAUCUCCUGGGCGAAGCAGCCCAGUGACGCCGAGAUGAAGGAAUGUCCACGCAGAAGUUCAGGGGACGGUAAAAGGUUUACCGUCUCAAAUCUCUGCGCCAGCUUCCGUGCGAUGAGGUUCCCGGCCAAUGCACCAAAGAUGUCACCGAGUAAACUUGCAGAAGCCAGACACAGAGAGAUGAAUGCAGGUUUUCAGUAAGUAAGAGGACUUUAUUAACAUACCGAUCGGGGCUCAGAUGAACUAAGUUAGACGAAAGUCCUUUAUGACCGACGCAAGCACAUUUUCCUGCCCAAAACAGUUCCAUAGAUUUGGGCUGUGCGGUCGGUAUAUUUCAGGCAGAAAAAUGACUAAGUGCCAUUCGAAUGCACGAACGGGGCCGUUCGUGCAAUCGGCUCAGUAUAGCAGUGAAUUCAAACUGCCUAAUGGGACUUAGUCUCUGCGGCUUCAAACUUAGUGUAGGAGAAGGUAAGGGUCAGCGGUGUUCGUUGAAAUGUGUAGCCGAUUUCAGUUCCAUGAAUUUGGCUACACAUACCGCUGACCUCGUUCGAAUGAACAAAGAUGGCCGCCACGUGUUCCUUUGCACGAACUGCGGCCACCCAGCGGUUGGCAAUUUACCUACAGCAGGCUCCCAGCCUAGGAGGUAAAUUGCCUGCACACUUCCACUUCUGUGUGGUCCACCUGUGUGGUAAAUGGGUCAGCCCCAUUUACUGAACUAAGUAGGAACAGGGUACAAACAAAGUAUUUUAAAGGUCGGGGGGACAGUCUUAAACGGGCAUUGUUCCCAAAAGUCACAGAAUGUCCCCAGACAGUUCUUAAAGGGCCAGCAGCAGCACAAUAAAAAUCCAUUAUGCCCAAAUACUGUUCUUAAAGAGCCAUACACCUCAGGUCCAUAGUCAUGGGGAAGGAGGCUGGUAAAUAGGCUUCUCCAUAAUACAGGGAAGCAGGGCAAUUUGUCAAUUAAAGAAACAGUUACAAAAGGCAUUUUGUAACAGUGUCUGUGAGUUAAUGUGUGUGUCUGAGUGAGUGAAUGUGUGUGUGUGUCGGUCAGUGAGUGCGUUUAUCUGUCAGUGAGUCUGUCAGUGAAUGUGAGUGUCAGUGAGUGUCCAAGUAAUAGUGUGUGUCUGUCUAUCAGUAUGUCAAAUCAGUGAGUGUGUGUCAUUGAAUGGAACGGACGCAACCUCAGGGAACUGAACGAAAAUUCCACAUGAGGAUUACUGUCAGGGGACAGAUCUGCAUAUGGAUCUUAAUUCUGGACUAUGUUUAUUUCCGUAAGUGACGUCAUGCACACGAGAUGUCGUGCGCGAUGACCUCACCGCGUAGGAAAAUAUUACUAACAGAUGAUGCCACACACUCCCCCCAGCAUGAGAGCCUGUGAUUGGAUGUAUCAUGGACGCCAUGCACCAAUCAACUUACCUUCAGGGGCUAUUUAAACCCGAAUUGGCAGCACUACAAUUACCAAUCGAAAAAAACUGAACUAUAUCGGCGAAACGUGUCUUGGACUCUACAGCACCAGCACUUAAGUGUAAAUUUAUAUUUAUUUUAUUAUUUUAUAAAAUAUGUUACAAUAAAGAACAAGAAAGGAAAUAUUAGAGGUGGACUAAGUCCACAUCAAAAAUUCCCAGAAAGGGUUACAGAGAUAUCAAGGGGCAUGGACCCCACAAAAUAAUUUAAAGUAAAAGGAAAGGCUAAAGUGAAAUGGUUGUUUCACUAAGGAUGGAAAAAUUGGACAUCCACUUCUCCAAAUGAUAUCUCUAGACUAUUAGAAUAAUUGUUAGGUAUAACCUUUAUUAAGCCGUCUUGAGGCAAAACAAAAAAUAAAGUGUGAUAAUAGUGAAACACUCGUGAAAAAUCCUCAGAACGUAAUGGAGUGGCUAAGAUAUCUGCACUGAAAAUUAUAGUAAGAAGUACAGUAUAGUACAGUAUGUAUUCAGUCAAAUACCACAAAGCCACUCCUCUAGAGAAAAAAUCCCCAUAAUCUGCAGGGAUCUAAAAAUAUCCCAGCUAUAUAGAGGUAAAUCCACAUAAAUUACCAUAGGCUCUAAUAUAUUUUCGAAGCAUACACUUUAGACUUAAGUAAAUAAUGUCCAUAUAUAGUCAGUCUAUCAUAGAAUUUGUACAAAAUGUUGCAAAUGAAAGAGUCUAGAGGGGAGCUGAGAGACACUGUGUGUAUAAUAUGCUACUUAGUAUUUAAUACUUAAAUAGAGUAGUAUAAAUGAUUAUUCGCUUAGUGAAGAGAAUAUCUCAAUAGACAAAUGAGAGCACAGAUAUAUAGAUAGAUCUAAAGAGAUGGUUAAACAGAGUAAUCCUGGGGGUUAAUGUGCAGGUGUCUCAUAGUAAUAGUAAAAUGGAUUAAGGAAUAUAUAUAUAUAUAUAUAUAUAUACCCACCAGACAAAAAAAAUCCCUCCCAGGAACAAAAAAACACUUAAACAUGUAAAAAAUAAAAAAAAAAUCUAUAUCUGCACUCGCCAAAGCUAGCUCCUAUAGACACUACACAUUGCUGCUUCGAGGCAGCCUAACGCUAUAGGUCGCUGGCUAAACAGUCUAAAUGAUUCUAAUGAUGAAUCUCCUAAUGAUACCACUAACUGUUACUACAAAGAAAAUUUUACUAAGUAGUCUGAGUAAAUACUCCAAAUGAGUCCCCCAGCAUUAAGUGACUAAAUCACUGCUUGCAUCCCCCAGUAGUAAAAACAAACAAACGGCAAACGCUCGAGGCGCGUUUCGGCGUGGUCACACGCCUUUAUCAAGAGCUCCUGGCACGACUGAAAGAGGGAGGGUAAAUUUAUAGCGGGAGGAGUCCCGCCCAUAUAGUUACGUGUUCCAAUCGGCAUUGGCCGGGGGCGUGGCUAUAAGCCGAUCGCGCCCUCCUCCUUCUAGGGGCUUGUCUCAGUGGAAACCACAUGUACACAUACAGCGUUAGCUGUCACUAUGGUGACGCGACCACCCUGACUGCAUACAAAUGCAGUACAGGUUGUCCGUCAGCUUAAAGGCUUCCACUUAAAGAUCCAUUGCCUACAUUACUCAGGUAUAUACUAGCCAUAUAAUAUAUUGGGAGUAAAAUCAAAUUAAUAGUUAUCUGAUAGAGAGAAAUGGUCUUAAUUCAAAAAUGCAUCUACAUUAUAAAACAGAGGGUAUAUGUCACAGAGUCAUUAUAAGACUCAAGAUUAAAUUAUAGAUAGACAUAUUAACUCAUUUCUCAUUUCAAUCCAUCAGUCACUAUUUUGGCAAUAAUCACUAGUAUGUCAUAUCAUGGUGUAAACAACAUUAAUCAAACCUAAGAUCCACUUAAUUAGGGAUCAGCUAUAUGUAUUUAUUAAAUAUUGUUCCACCAUAAAUGUAAAUUAGAUAUUUAUUACAUAUUGCUCCCACAGUGGCAAGAUAGUGACAAAUUAUAAAGUAUAUCCUUAGGUAGACAAAAAUAUAUUUCCCUAAGAGUUCUAUGAACAUAGUCCCAAUGGACUAAAUCAGUGCCAGGUUAAGGUACAAAUACCAAAAAUUAUAAAUAUAAAUCACACAAAAGUUAUUAUAUACAGACAAAAAGAUUUCUAUUAUAUUAUACAUAUAUAUAUAUUUACAGAAUGUGUAGUUAAUGUUAGUCACUCCAUUUAAACUACAAUUAGUGACCAAACCUUAUAUAGCAACCAUGUAACAAGAAUUAAAUGUAGGGAGAAAAUGAAAACCCUUCAUUCAAGCCAUUUGGGUUAAGAGUUUUUAAUUUAUAUAUCCACCUACAUUCUUUUUGACGUAAAAGUUUAUCAUAAUCUCCUCGUCUCUGAUCACGUUUGACCCAUUCUAAUCCGCAGAACCUAAUUGCACUAGAGUCACCUGCAUGGCAAUUUUUUAGGUGUCUCGAGAUUGGAGUUUCCAUACGUUUUUUUGGGGAUCUUACAUGUUCUUUGAUCCGUUCCUUGAAAGGUCUAAAGGUUUUUCCUACGUACAGCAUUUUGCAGCUACAAAUAAGGAGAUAUACCAGUCCAGCAGUAUUACAAUUAAAGAAAUAGGUAAUCACAAAGCUCUGUUGUCCAGCACUAUCUUGGACUUUUUUUGAGUCCCGUAGAAUAUACCUACACGCAACACAUCUACCGCACCCAUAGGAACCACAGGGGGGAUUGCGGCCCAACCAAGUCACUUUAUUCUGUUUCUGUUUUAUUCUGUUUGAGAAGUGGCUUGGUACAAGCAUAUCACGAAGAUUUUUCCCCCUGCGUGCUGUGAUGGUUGCCCUAGGACUAAGGACGUCUUUAAGAUGGACAUCCUUUAGAAGGAUAGGCCAAAAUUUCUCAAUUGACUUUUUCACUGUAUUCCAUCCUGUGUCAAAGGUUCCAAUCAUACGGAUAAUCUUAUUCAACGGUUUUUGUUUAGAUUGAUGCAAGAUAAGAUUAUCUCUAUUCAAUUCUAUGGCUCUUUUAUAUGCUUUUUUAAGGCAUUUAUUCGGGUAACCUUUUUCCCGAAAUUGUUGUCUUAAUAGAGCCGCUUUUGCCUUAAAAUCCGAUAGAUCCGUACAGUUCCUACGUACCCUCAAAUAUUGUCCUACCGGAAUGCCUUGUUUAAGGGGCCUAGGGUGGAAGCUAUCCCAUCUAAGGAAUGCGUUAGAUGCUGUUGGCUUCUUAAAGAGGGUUGUUUUCAAAGACCCAUUCAUAUUAAUAGAGAUGGUUAUAUCCAAAAAAUUCAAUGUCUGUCCUCCAAAUUCUGCUGUGAAUCUGAGAUUAUCUUCGUUUAUAUUCAACAGGGAGACAAAUCCAUUAAAAUCCUCUUCAUCACCCAGCCAGACAAUAAAGAUAUCAUCUUUAUACCUAAGCCAUGUAUGUAUUUUAGGUAUAUAGCUCGAGAAGGUACUAGAUUUCAUGAUCUGUGACUCCCACCAACCAAAAUGAAGGUUGGCAUAGGAGGGCGCACACGCCGUACCCAUCGCUGUCCCCCUUAUCUGGUGAAAGAAUUUGUCAUGAAAUAGAAAAUAAUUAUGAGACAGAAUGUAGCCUAAUAGUUUUAGUACAAACCCCGUGUGGAGAGUAUGAUUGGGACCUCUCUGGUCCAAAAAAUAUCUUGUAUGUUCAAUGCCCCGUUCAUGGGGGAUUGAAGAAUAUAGGGCCUCGACGUCCAAACUACAGAGCUUUGCUGACGUUGGUAACUGAAGAUUCGAAAAGAGUGACAAUGCCUGUUUUGUAUCUCUAAUAUAUGAAGGUAGUUGUUCAACAAACUUUUUAUUUAUUGCUUUUAUUGUUUGUUUGAACUUUUUAUUCUUCCUGAUCCUUCCUGCUGCUGUGAAAAGUCCUGUACUGCUAUUGGAUCAGCUGCUGCUUUUGGAUACCACCUAGUGUGGAGACACGCUGGUUUUAUUUUGCAACAUUGUAAGUGCAACUUAAUUUAAAAUAAAUUGUUAUAUUUUGUACCAUCUGCACUAUCUAUCUCUUUCUUUAUUUGGAGUGAAAAAGAGGAUCUACAGGAUCAUCGCUGGAGGUCCUCUAUAUUGUUGCAGUUCCCUAUUCAUUGUGGGAGAUACGCUUGAUUUCAUCUUAAUUUUGUGAGUUCUCUACCAUUUUGCUUCUAUUUAGAUGUAACAAUAUUACACUAUAUAGUUUUUAUGUAUUUUCAGAUAUAUUUCUGAGACAGAAACUAUCUCUACAUACCAAGUUUGUAUAUAUUUAUUAUUGUUUGUCACUUUGGUGAUUCACAUUGUUUUGUACCUUUGUUUUUUUUCUUUUUUUCACUAUUGUGUUUUAAGUGUUUGUAAGGGUACACUUUAAAACCUUGGGUACUCUUUAGCACGAACAGUUAACUUCUUUCCUUUUUUGUGUUCAACAAAAGGUCUUAUUUUUUCAAUGUAGAGACUCCCAUUUUGAGUCAGAUUAUCAACCCCAGAGACAAUGGGGCGACCCGGUGGGUAUUGUGUAUUUUUAUGGAUUUUGGGCAGGCAGUAGAAGGUUGCUAUCCUGGGACAUAGAUUCAGAAUGAAUUCAUAUUCAUCCCUGGACAGCAACCCCCCACUGCGGCCCUCAUCCAAUAUUUCCUUAUAUUUUGUUAGAAAUGAAUUUGUAGGGUCAGCUUUCAAGAUCAUAUAGGUGUCGUUAUUACCCAAAACCCUCUGUACCAUAUUUUCAUAGUCAGAUACAUUCAUAACCAUCACAUUACCUCCCUUGUCUGCUGGUUUAAUGACCAACUGGUCAUUCGUUUUAAGUGACUUAAGAGCUAUUUGCUCUAUUUUAGAAAGAUUAUCAUUAGGAAACGAAUCAAAACAAUUGCUCUCUAUACCCUCAAUUUCACUUUUUACUGCUUCUAAAAACAAAUCCAAGUUCCUGAAACUGGCAAAAUUAGGGGUAAAUCGGCUUUUUGGUUUCAAUUUGGUAUACUCAGUGGGCGAAUGGACAUCAUUUUCAUCGAGGAGUGAUACUAGUGUAUUUACUAACUCCAAAUCCUUACAUGACAAACCACAGGCUCUUGCUUUUUUCUCUUCAUUAAUAGUAUGAUAUUUAUGUAGAGCAAGUUUGCGUACAAACAGAUGUAAGUCCUUGAUCCAAGUAAACUUAUCAAAGACAGGUGUCGGUACAAAGGAGAGUCCCUUCUCUAGUACUUUAAUCUGGGAUUCAUUAAGCUCGUAAAUCGACAAAUUAAUCACGUGGUUUUUUUUUUUAUAGAAGAAUGUAAUAUUUUAGAGUUUGUAUUUAGUAUCGUCUCCUUCGUGUCCUCCCUCUCGCCCCUCCUCUUCCCGAAUUUCUGGAUUGAUAACGUGUCUGAUAAUUGGGGAUGUCUUCUUGUUGACCCAUCGCUAAAAAAUUGACACCUUUUUUAAGAAUACUGCGAGGAUUACCAGUAUUGGGAAUUGGGGGGGCUUGUUGUUGAUCAGAGUGUGUGUAUUGUACACUGGAAUCAGUGUCUGAGGAAUCAUAUUCUGAAGUCAUAUUGUUUUCAGAAUUGGUUCUCAGGCGACGAUUAGGAAACCUAUAUACAUUCCCCAAUUGAUAAUCUUUCAAAUAUCUCAAACUUCUGAUGUUUUCUAGAUUUUAUAGAGUCCUGAUAUUUGUCAAGAUUAUUUUUAAGUUUAUUUUCCAACAUUGAAAAGUUUGAUUCACUUUUAAACAGAUUAAGCCUAUCAAUUUCUUCGUCCAGCUUUUGAUUAACAUUACCCAAUUUCUCUUUUUCAAAGGUACAAAUUAUCUCCAUAAAUUUCAUUGAGCAUAUUCCAGCUGCUAACUCCCAUUGCUUAGUGAACUCAGGGUUCUCAUUAUAGGUUGUAGGAAUAUUGCGGACUCUAAGGCCCCUAGGAAUCAUUUCUUUUUUAAUAUAGUUUUCAAGUGAGAUCUCCCAGCAUGUCUUAAUUUGUUGCUUAUAUAGCUUAGUCACCGAAUUAAAUGAAUAAUAGAUAUCAGUUGGAGUCUGACUUUUCUCAAGAUUUUCACGGCUUAAUAAAGGUUAUACCUAACAAUUAUUCUAAUAGUCUAGAGAUAUCAUUUGGUGAAGUGGAUGUCCAAUUUUUUAAAAAAGAAAUGAUUCCUAGGGGCCUUAGAGUCCGCAAUAUUCCUACAACCUAUAAUGAGAACCCUGAGUUCACUAAGCAAUGGGAGUUAGCAGCUGGAAUAUGCUCAAUGAAAUUUAUGGAGAUAAUUUGUACCUUUGAAAAAGAGAAAUUGGGUAAUGUUAAUCAAAAGCUGGACGAAGAAAUUGAUAGGCUUAAUCUGUUUAAAAGUGAAUCAAACUUUUCAAUGUUGGAAAAUAAACUUAAAAAUAAUCUUGACAGAUAUCAGGACUCUAUAAAAUCUAGAAAACAUCAGAAGUUUAUGAGAGAUUUGAAAGAUUAUCAAUUGGGGAAUGUAUAUAGGUUUCCUAAUCGUCGCCUGAGAACCAAUUCUGAAAACAAUAUGACUUCAGAAUAUGAUUCCUCAGACACUGAUUCCAGUGUACAAUACACACCCUCUGAUCAACAACAAGCCCCCCCAAUUCCCAAUACUGGUAAUCCUCGCAGUAUUCUUAAAAAAGGUGUCAAUUUUUUAGCGAUGGGUCAACAAGAAGACAUCCCCAAUUAUCAGACACGUUAUCAAUCCAGAAAUUCGGGAAGAGGAGGGGCAAGAGGGAGGACACGAAGGAGAUGAUACUAAAUACAAACUCUAAAAUAUUACAUUCUUCUAUAAAAAAAACACAUGUGAUUAAUUUGUCGACUUACGAGCUUAAUGAAUCCCAGAUUAAAGUACUAGAGAAGGGACUCUCCUUUGUACCGACACCUGUCUUUGAUAAGUUUACUUGGAUCAAGGACUUACAUCUGUUUGUACGCAAACUUGCUCUACAUAAAUAUCAUACUAUUAAUGAAGAGAAAAAAGCAAGAGCCUGUGGUUUGUCAUGUAAGGAUUUGGAGUUAGUAAAUACACUAGUAUCACUCCUAGAUGAAAAUGAUGUCCAUUUACCCACUGAGUAUACCAAAUUGAAACCAAAAAGCCGAUUUACCCCUAAUUUUGCCAGUUUCAGGAACUUGGAUUUGUUUUUAGAAGCAGUAAAAAGUGAAAUUGAGGGUAUAGAGAGCAAUUGUUUUGAUUCAUUUCCUAAUGAUAAUCUUUCUAAAAGAGAGCAAAUAGCUCUUAAGUCACUUAAAGAGAAUGACCAGUUGGUCAUUAAACCAGCAGACAAGGGAGGUAAUGUGGUGGUUCUGAAUGUAUCUGACUAUGAAAAUAUGGUACAGAGGGUCUUGGGUAAUAACGACACCUAUAUGAUCUUGAAAGCUGACCCUACAAAUUCAUUUCUAACAAAAUAUAAGGAAAUAUUGGAUGAGGGCCGCAGUGGGGGGUUGCUGUCCAGGGAUGAAUAUGAAUUCAUUCUGAAUCGAUGUCCCAGGAUAGCAACCUUCUACUACCUGCCCAAAAUCCAUAAAAAUACACAAUACCCACCGGGUCGCCCCAUUGUCUCUGGGGUUGAUAAUCUGACUCAAAAUGGGAGUCUCUACAUUGAAAAAAUAAUAAGACCUUUUGUUGAACAACUACCUUCAUAUAUUAGAGAUACAAAACAGGCAUUGUCACUCUUUUCGAAUCUUCAGUUACCAACGUCAGCAAAGCUCUGUAGUUUGGACGUCGAGGCCCUAUAUUCUUCAAUCCCCCAUGAACGGGGCAUUGAACAUACAAGAUAUUUUUUGGACCAGAGAGGUCCCAAUCAUACUCUCCACACAAGGUUUGUACUAAAACUAUUAGGCUACAUUCUGUCUCAUAAUUAUUUUCUAUUUCAUGACAAAUUCUUUCACCAGAUAAGGGGGACGGCGAUGGGUACGGCGUGUGCGCCCUCCUAUGCCAACCUUCAUUUAGGUUGGUGGGAGUCACAGAUCAUGAAAUCUAGUACCUUCUCGAGCUAUAUACCUAAAAUACAUACAUGGCUUAGGUAUAAAGAUGAUAUCUUUAUUGUCUGGCUGGGUGAUGAAGAGGAUUUUAAUGGAUUUGUCUCCCUGUUGAAUAUAAACGAAGAUAAUCUCAGAUUCACAGCAGAAUUUGGAGGACAGACAUUGAAUUUUUUGGAUAUAACCAUCUCUAUUAAUAUGAAUGGGUCUUUGAAAACAACCCUCUUUAAGAAGCCAACAGCAUCUAAUGCAUUCCUUAGAUGGGAUAGCUUCCACCCUAGGCCCCUUAAACAAGGCAUUCCGGUAGGACAAUAUUUGAGGGUACGUAGGAACUGUACGGAUCUAUCGGAUUUUAAGGCAAAAGCGGCUCUAUUAAGACAACAAUUUCGGGAAAAAGGUUACCCGAAUAAAUGCCUUAAAAAAGCAUAUAAAAGAGCCAUAGAAUUGAAUAGAGAUGAUCUUAUCUUGGAUCAAUCUAAACAAAAACCGUCGAAUAAGAUUAUUCGUAUGAUUGGAACCUUUGACACAGGAUGGAAUACAGUGAAAAAGUCAAUUGAGAAAUUUUGGCCUAUCCUUCUAAAGGAUGUCCAUCUUAAAGACGUCCUUAGUCCUAGGGCAACCAUCACAGCACGCAGGGGGAAAAAUCUUCGUGAUAUGCUGGUACCGAGCCACUUCUCAAUGAAACAGAAUAAAGUGACUUGGUUGGGCCGCAAUCCCCCCUGUGGUUCCUAUGGGUGCGGUAGAUGUGUUGCGUGUAGGUAUAUUCUAUGGGACUCAAAAAAAGUCCAAGAUAGUGCUGGACAACAGAGCUUUGUGAUUACCCAUUUCUUUAAUUGUAAUACUGCUGGACUGGUAUAUCUCCUUAUUUGUAGCUGCAAAAUGCUGUACGUAGGAAAAACCUUUAGACCUUUCAAGGAACGGAUCAAAGAACAUGUAAGAUCCCCAAAAAAAGGUAUGGAAACUCCAAUCUCGAGACACCUAAAAAAUUGCCAUGCAGGUGACUCUAGUGCAAUUAGGUUCUGCGGAUUAGAAUGGGUCAAACGUGAUCAGAGACGAGGAGAUUAUGAUAAACUUUUACGCCAAAAAGAAUGUAGGUGGAUAUAUAAAUUAAAAACUCUUAACCCAAAUGGCUUGAAUAAAGGGUUUUCAUUUUCUCCCUACAUUUAAUCCUUGUUACAUGGUUGCUAUAUAAGGUUUGGUCACUAAUUGUAGUUUAAAUGCAGUGACUAACAUUAACUACACAUUCUGUAAAUAUAUAUAUGUAUAAUAUAAUAGAAAUCUUUUUGUCUGUAUAUAAUAACUUUUGUGUGAUUUAUAUUUAUAAUUUUUGGUAUUUGUACCUUAACCUGGCACUGAUUUAGUCCAUUGGGACUAUUGUAACGGAUCGCCUGGCACCCCGACUGGGUACCUCCGUUAAAAGAUGCUCCUAGCGCUUCCUGAGGACUCCAAGCACUGCAGCCGACACCACAAUCACCGAACCAGAGAAGCGUAUACCUUCUCUCAAGCAUAAGGAAUGCUGUAGACAGUUGAAUAGGAACCAUACGAAUAGGUUUACUCUCCUAGCAGUCAAACUGGAACAGCAUACAAUAAAUCCUUCCCCCAAUAAUGAGACGACACUUCACUUUGAGGGUUAAAACAGGAACUCUCUGUACUGCCACAUACAGUCUCUUUUAUUCCCAAUCCACAAACAUAGUACAGCCCACAGGGCGUUACAAAACAACCAAUCACAUCACAGUUACAUCCCACAUAUUCCCUCCCCUUAUCCUGAGAGGAAACUCAAUUAUACAUACAGUUAAAAUAUACUUUCUACCCAACUUUCAUAACUCCAAAACCAUACAUCACAUUCACAGAAAAUUACAUAUUCACAAUCAAUCCAUUCAGGGAAACAACAUAUUCAAAAAUGGCACAAAUCAGACAAGGGGUUCAAAAGUUAGUAAAAAGUCCUUUGUGACUAAAUGAAGCAUGGCUUUCUUGCCCAAACCAGUUUCAGAGUCUUCUAUCCUGGAGAUAAGUAAUUCAAUUAUCUCCCAGGACAGACACAAGACUCCAUUAAGCACAUGGUUGCAAAAAGACACAAAACACUUUAAAAUACAUAAAGUCACAUUUACACAUAACACACAGACACUUCACAUAUCCCCAGAUAGCUGGGAUCUGAGUGCACAUUAUUAGAUGAAUGGCACUCAGAUCACACAAAUAAGCCUUUCUGCAGGGGAAAUAAACAGUUUAACCUGCAGGGCCAUAGUCCAAAGGGAGCAGGCGAGCAACCAGGCUUCUCCUGUUCACAGUGGCGAGGUUGGUUUCGCCACACUUCUCCCCUUUACCAACUAGACUAACAGGGUAUCUGACCUCCUGCCGGUCAGUGCCCUGGUUAGUCCAGCAACCCACCCACAAAACAGAAACAGCAGUACAGCCCACCCACAAUAACUGGUUACUACACCUGGGUAGAGGGAAACUUUGUCCAUGUCCAGGUGCCUCACCACGACUGUGUGGGCAACUGUUAGGCUGCCUUGGUGGGUUGCUGAGUGGGCAGAGACCAGCGGUACUCUGCCCUGAUGCCAGUGCUACCACAGAAGUAGCCUGGUGGGAGCCUGGUUGUGGGAGGGAGAGACCGACUGUCUCCCCUCUGGAUACACCGUUCUGUGGCUGGGGAACAGGACCGACUGUCCCUACCCCUUGUGCUGUAAGUGCAGAGACUACAGUCCCAUCUGCACUGUUGGGGGGUGUAACAUCUCCCCUUGCUGGGUUAGGCUGCCGCUGGAGAGAGGGUGUAACAAGCUUCUCUCUCUGAACUGUAAACUGCCGCUGGGGAGAGGGGGUAUCAGGCUCCUCUCCCUGACACUCUCUCUGCUGGUGGAGAGGGGGACCAGCUGUCUCCCCUUUCAUUAUUUUGUCCUGUGGUUGGGGUGCGAGACUGACGGUCUCUGCUCCCUGCAGGACACUCUGCCGCUGGGGAGGAAGGACGGCACCUUCAGCUCCCUGGGGUACACACUGCCGCUGGGGAGGAAGGACUGCACCUUCAGCUCCCUGGGGUACACACUGCCGCUGGGGAGGAAGGACUGCACCUUCAGCUCCCUGGGGUGCACACUGCCGCUGGGGAGGAAGGACUGCACCUUCAGCUCCCUGGGGUACAUACUGCCGCUGGAGAUCUGGGCCGACCGCCCAGCAUCCCUGUAGGGCCGGUUGAGAGACCGCCGUCCCAUCUCCACCUGCCAUCUGUGGGUCUGCCCAGGACCAGUCUGUGAGGUCCCUCAACAUUUGCGAGUAAGGACCACCUGCUUCCGCACCUGGCAACUCCGGCUGCUGCUGGGGAUCUGGGCCGGUCCCAUCUCCACAUGCCUGUUGUGGUUCCUCACAGGACCAGUCUAUGAGGACCCCUACUUCGGGUUCCUGCGGCCGCCUCAGGGGGAGGCGGCUAGCCUCCUCGGAUGCAGCCUCUACUCGGCUGCUGUAACACUCCUUCCGCUGAGCAUACUCUCUCUCUUUCGCCAGCCGGAAUUCUCGGGCCAGCCUUGUGUUUCGCUCGGCCGUGACCUGGUUCCAGAUCACCCGGCGUGCCUCCAUGGGUAAAUCAUCCCCAUACUGGGCCACUCGCUGCCUCACCUCGGCCAUCCAAUCAUCGCCAGAGCCUUCCAUACUUGUCUGCUCCAAGUCGCUGGAUACCUCUGCUCCCAGGGGCGCUGCACGUGUGCUAGCGUUGCCCUCAAUUUGUAACUCCAAGCGAACUGUGUCUCUGAGCUGCUUUACCUCGCACUAGGACGCCAUCCCACCGCUUGCCACCAAUGUAACGGAUCGCCUGGCACCCCGACUGGGUACCUCCGUUGAAAGAUGCUCCUAGCGCUUCCUGAGGACUCCAAGCACUGCAGCAGACACCACAAUCACCGAACCGGAGAAGCAAAUAAAUUCUCUCAAGCAUAUAAAUGCUGUAGACAGUUGAAUAGGAACCAUACGAAUAGGUUUACUCUCCUAGCAGUCAAACUGGAACAGCAUACAAUAAAUCCUUCCCCCAAUAAUGAGACGACACUUCACUUUGAGGGUUAAAACAGGAACUCUCUGUACUGUCACAUACAGUCUCUUUUAUUCCCAAUCCACAAACAUAGUACAGCCCACAGGGCGUUACAAAACAACCAAUCACAUCACAGUUACAUCCCACAUAUUCCCUCCCCUUAUCCUGAGAGGAAACUCAAUUAUACAUACAGUUAAAACAUACUUUCUACCCAACUUUCAUAACUCCAAAACCAUACAUCACAUUCACAUAAAAUUACAUAUUCACAAUCAAUCCAUUCAGGGAACAACAUAUUCAAAAAUGGCACAAAUCAGACAAGGGGUUCAAAAGUUAGUAAAAAGUCCUUUGUGACUAAAUGAAGCAUGGCUUUCUGGCCCAAACCAGUUUCAGAGUCUUCUAUCCUGGAGAUAAGUAAUUCAAUUAUCUCCCAGGAUAGACACAAGACUCCAUUAAGCACAUGGUUGCAAAAAGACACAAAACACUUUAAAAUACAUAAAGUCACAUUUACACAUAACACACAGACAUUUCACAUAUCCCCAGAUAGCUGGGAUCUGAGUGCACAUUAUUAGAUGAAUGGCACUCAGAUCACACAAAUAAGCCUUUCUGCAGGGGAAAUAAACAGUUUAACCUGCAGGGCCAUAGUCCAAAGGGAGCAGGCGAGCAACCAGGCUUCUCCAGUUCACAGUGGCGAGGUUGGUUUCGCCACAACUAUGUUCAUAGAACUCUUAGGGAAAUAUAUUUUUGUCUACCUAAGGAUAUACUUUAUAAUUUGUCACUAUCUUGCCACUGUGGGAGCAAUAUGUAAUAAAUAUCUAAUUUACAUUUAUGGUGGAACAAUAUUUAAUAAAUACAUAUAGCUGAUCCCUAAUUAAGUGGAUCUUAGGUUUGAUUAAUGUUGUUUACUAGUGAUUAUUGCCAAAAUAGUGACUGAUGGAUUGAAAUGAGAAAUGAGUUAAUAUGUUUAUCUAUAAUUGAAUCUUGAGUCUUAUAAUGACUGUGACAUAUACCCUCUGUUUUAUAAUGUAGAUGCAUUUUUGAAUUAAGACCAUUUCUCUCUAUCAGAUAACUAUUAAUUUGAUUUUACUCCCAAUAUAUUAUAUGGCUAGUAUAUACCUGAGUAAUGUAGGCAAUGGAUCUUUAAGUGGAAGCCUUUAAGCUGACGGACAACCUGUACUGCAUUUGUAUGCAGUCAGGGUGGUCGCGUCACCAUAGUGACAGCUAACGAUGUAUGUGUACAUGUGGUUUCCACUGAGACAAGCCCCUAGAAGGAGGAGGGCGCGAUCGGCUUAUAGCCACGCCCCCGGCCAAUGCCGAUUGGAACACGUAACUAUAUGGGCGGGACUCCUCCCGAUAUAAAUUUACCCUCCCUCUUUCAGUCGUGACAGGAGCUCUUGAUAAAGGCGUUUGACCACGCCGAAACGCGCGUCGAGCGUUUGCCUUUUGUUUGUUUUUACUACUGGGGGAUGCAAGCAGUGAUUUAGUCACUUAAUGCUGGGGGACUCAUGUGGAGUAUUUACUCAGACUACUUAGUAAAAUUUUCUUUGUAGUAACAGUUAGUGGUAUCAUUAGGAGAUUCAUCAUUAGAAUCAUUUAGAUUGUUUAGCCAGCGACCUAUAGCGUUAGGCUGCCUCGAAGCAGCAAUGUGUAGUGUCUAUAGGAGCUAGCUUUGGCGAGUGCAGAUAUAGUUUUUUUUUAUUUUUUACAUAUUUAAGUGGUUUUUUUGUUCCUGGGAGGGAUUUUUUUGUCUGGUGGGUGCAUAUAUAUAUAUAUAUAUAUAUAUAUAUAUAUAUAUAGGGAUUGAAUCCUUAAUCCAUUUUACUAUUACUAUGAGACACCUGCACAUUAACCCCCAGGAUUACUCUGUUUAACCAUCUCUUUAGAUCUAUCUAUAUAUCUGUGCUCUAAUUUGUCUAUUGAGAUAUUCUCUUUACUAAGCGAAUAAUCAUUUAUACUACUCUAUUUAAGCAUUAAAUACUAAGUAGCAUAUUAUACACACAGUGUCUCUCAGCUCCCCUCUAGACUCUUUCAUUUGCAACAUUUUGUACAAAUUCUAUGAUAGACUGACUAUAUAUGGACAUUAUUUACUUAAGUCUAAAGUGUAUGCUUCGAAAAUAUAUUAGAGCCUAUGGUAAUUUAUGUGGAUUUACCUCUAUAUAGCUGGGAUAUUUUUAGAUCCCUGCAGAUUAUGGGGAUUUUUUCUCUAGAGGAGUGGCUUUGUGGUAUUUGACUGAAUACAUACUGUACUAUACUGUACUUCUUACUAUAAUUUUCAGUGCAGAUAUCUUAGCCACUCCAUUACGUUCUGAGGAUAUCCAUAUUGCAUCUACCCAGUUUUUAUUUCACUUGUUUCACUAUUAUCACACUUUAUUUUUUGUUUUGCCUCAAGACGGCUUAAUAAAGGUUAUACCUAACAAUUAUUCUAAUAGUCUAGAGAUAUCAUUUGGUGAAGUGGAUGUCCAAGUUUUCCAUCCUUAGUGGAACAACCAUUUCACUUUAGCCUUUCCUUUUACUUCAUGUUACAAUAAAUGUUAUUAUUACUUCACUAAGAAGCCUGGUGGAACAUCUAUGCUGCUUAAAGAAGGGCUGUGUCACUCUAAUUUGGCACAAAGUCUACAUACUCAGAGCCCAGUCAUAGGCUCUUUACAAGGUGAGAAGCAACCUUUAUUUAUACUCUGCACUUUAUUGUACCAAGGAUUUCUACACCAGGGUUAGCAUUGCUUCCCUGUUCUCUCCAAUUUUUUGUCUCCAUUAUUGAGGUUUUUACCUAAUAUGGACGUUUAGGGUGUGUGUCACCUUAAAGUACACAAAAGCGGAAUAGAUCAGAGCCGGUCCUUAAGAGGCUGUAAACCAUGUGAGUGAAUCCAGUAUAAGAUACGAUCCUCACCAUUAUACCAAUCAUAUUGCACUAUAUUCUAUAUCUCCUUUUAGGAUUUUCUAUCCAUUGUAUACAUCUCCUAAGAAUUCUAGGAGUAAGUGUUCAUUUGUUUAAGCACUACACACCUCUCACUAUUUGGCAUUUAUCUAUCAGUGAGUGUGUGCGUCUGUCAGUGAGUGAGCGUCUGUCAGUCAAAGUGCGGCCUUGCCAGGAAGGGGUGGAGAAAAUUUAAAUUCGGGGUGUGCCCAAGCACCGUCCUGCCUAGGGCAGGACAAAUCCUAAAUACACCACUGAGUACACAUACUGCACACACACACAUAGAUGACAUAGUACACACGUGCCUGUCUGACUCCAGUACUUGCCACUUUGGGGAAGGUGCACGGGGAUCCUUCUGCUCAGGAUCUCCUGCAGAAGCAGUAAGUACACAGAGAAGCCCAGCAAGCUGCAUGUUGUCUCUUGGUGAUAAGUUCCCAGUGAGAGCGAUGCGGCAUUUACCAAGUGAAGGUGUAUUGUGCCCCCACUGAGGAUUAUCUGCCCAUCUCUGCCAGGACUGGUUGCCAGCAGGGAGCACAGGGGGGCAAAGGAGGGCUGCUGCACCUGGGUACCGGGCUGUCCUGGGAGCUGCUCCCACUGGAUGGUAGUAGGGUGCUCUGCAUGCUGGAGGGCUGCCUUGGGUGGUGUAGUUAGGUAGGGAGGUGCCCUGGGUGGUGUAGGUAGGUAGGGGCUGCUAGGGAUGGAGCAAGGUAGGUACCGCUCUGCCGGCAGUGGCGUCGCUGGGGGGGGGCGCCAUGGCCCCCCCUACAUCAUGUUGUGCCCCCCCUUGGGUGCCCCAAAUGCCAGCAAGAUGCUGUCCAUGUUUUUGCAUUCUAUUCCCUCGGGCUGUAACAGUGUGUUACAGCCCAGAGAGGGAAUGCAGGGCAGAGGAGCUUAGCUGGAAUGGUGCUGGGGGCUGUAUGUGGUCGGAGGGAGCACUGACAGUCUCCCCGGCAAGGCCCCACCCCCAAACGAAGCCCCACCUCCUGCACAUAAACCCCACCCCUUCCAUUAAGCAGCAGACCUUGCUGCUGCUGCUGGAAAGGCCAGAAGAUGGCUGUCUGACCUCCAGCAACAGGUAGGCUUGAUAUGCUCAGGUGUGUGUGUGUGUGGACUCAGCAGUCUGCGUAUGUGUGUGUGUGUGUGGACUCAGCAAUCUGUGUGUGUGUGUAUGGACUCAGCAGUCUGCGUGCGUGUGUGUAUGGACUCAGCAGUCUGCGUGCGUGUGUGUAUAUGGACUCAGCAGUCUGCGUGCGUGUGUGUGUGUAUAUGGACUCAGCAGUCUGCGCGUGUGUGUGUAUAUGGACUCAGCAGUCUGCGUGUGUGUGUGUAUAUGGACUCAGCAGUCUGCGUGUGUGUGUGUAUGGACUCAGCAGUCUGCGUGUGUGUGUGUAUGGACUCAGCAGUCUGCGUGUGUGUGUGUGUGGAAUCAGCAGUCUGUGUGUGUGUGUGUGGACUCAGCAGUCUGUGUAUGUGUUUGAAUAUGGACUCAGCAGUCUGUAUGUGUGUAUGGACUCAGCAGUCUGUAUGUGUGUAUGGACUCAGCAGUCUGUGUGUGUGUGUGUGGACUCAGCAGUCUGUGUGUGUGUGUGUGGACUCAGCAGUCUGUGUGUGUGUGUGGACUCAGCAGUCUGUGUGUGUGUGUGUGUGGAAUCAGCAGUCUGUGUGUGUGUGUGUG
rnacentral:lncRNA from 1 species